rnacentral:lncRNA from 1 species
CAAUUUAUUAGAUGUGAGCAAUUAGUAGACAAAAUUAAGCUCGAAAUCAUCAGAUAGUUCUGUAAUACUACUAAUGUUUUGGACAACUGGAACCGAAUCCUUAAGAUUCUCAACUGUAACAUGAUUUCAUCUUCGUUAUUUGACUUUUUAUGGUCAUAGACUCAUGCAUAUUAACUCUCACAGUAAAGUUUACGGAAACGAAGGCACCUCAUCUUUAAAUUUAAACCAACUUGUUAAAUAAAUAUAACUCGUAAGAGUGUCUAAUUACUCUACUUAUCAAAAAGUUUAAUUAAUUAAUUAGCACAACACACUUCCGACUUACUAUACUCAUUAAGUCAUUAUUAAUACGGUAAACUUCCACUCACACAUUACCCAAUAAACCUUUCAAUUGUGAUAAUACUAUUAGAUUACUUUUGAUUUUAUCCAAAUUUGACAGUACUUCAUCAUAGUAACGCGUUUUCUAACUUUGUCGGAAGACGACUUUAUUAGGGAACACACUUUUAGUUCACAAAAUGCUAAUAAAACCUAAACUACCUGACAGUUUAGGCUUUUAGCUAUAUCAACAGAAAAACUUACUACAUGUUUUGAUGAAUUUAGCUCCACAAGAAACAAGAGGAGUGUUACGAAGCACGUCGUGGCUGUGUGCAUGGAGCUUCUAAACUUAUUAUCUAUUCCAACGUGCAUUGAGCUUAUAAAAUGAAUUAACAAAAAAGAUUUAGUAAUAUGUUAUGGAAUUAGAUUUUUCCACCAAAAACCAAGUUUUUUUCUUCUGUUGAAAUCCCGUAACUACCACGUCCUCUGGAUGCGUCGCCCAUACCUUUUUAUUCACUCAUCUUCGGGGUUCAUAUAUUAACUUUACUUUGACUAUAUGCGACAUAGAUACCUACUUAUAUAGUACUUCAUUUUUUCUUAAUAUCUAUACAUUAAUGAACUAUACUAGCUUGUAAAUGCACAUGGUAUCGAAUUUCUUUACACAUCUAAGAGUGUUCAAUUUGGUUUUGUUUACAGUUUGGCUCGUUAAUUUUUUUUCUGGUAUUUUGGUUUAUAAGAAAUGGUUACCAUAUCAAAACUAUAUUUUUUGGUUUGGUUCAAAUAAUAUACUUUUAGUUUUUGGUUUCUUCGAUUUUUAUUUAUACCACAAAAUUAUAAUUAUAUUUAUUUUUAUAAUAUGUUAGAAAUUUCAGUUUAUAUGAUUAUUAAAAUAUAAUAUAUUUUCAGUAAUUAUUUUUGAAAUAAAAUGAUUUUCUGUUUGACUUAACUAUUAAUUAAAAAUACACCUUCCGUUCCAAAAUGAUGUAUAUUUUAUAGUUUUAACACACAUUAAGAAAACAUGUUAAUAAAUGUAUUAAAUUUUGUGAUUAACUAGUUCCCAUAAUUUCUAGCCAAAUCAAAAUAUAGUAAACACAAAUAAUGUCUUCAUCAUUUACAAUUUACCAUUAUUAUAUGCAUGGAAUAUGUGAAAUAACUACUCCAUCAGUUUUACUUUAGUUGUCGUUUUAGAUUUAUGCACACAGAUUAAGAAAAUAUUUAAUUUUACAUAUUCCAAAAUAAAAACAUUAUUACUUAUACACCUAACCAUAUUUCAACCAAAAGAAAAAUAAAAUGGUGAAUUUAUUAUUAAAUUUUGCAUUGAAAACAUAAAACAACACUUAAAAUGAAACAAAAUUUUAACUCUAAAACGACAAAUAAAGAAACAAUUUUUUUUUUUUUUAUAAAAAAUGGAUUCUAUUGAAACAGAAUGAGUAAUAAUUUAAAAUAAAAAAUAAUUAUGAUAAUUUCUUAAAACAAAAAAUAAGAAAAAGUUAGUACUAUCAUAAUAUUAUUAAAUAAAUAAAAUUUAGCACAAAUAUAUGUCAAAAAUAAUAAAAUCUUAAAAUCAUAUCAAUAAUAAUAAAAACAAUAUAUAUAUAUAUAUGAUCAAUUGUAUUAUAUAACUUACAUAUAACUAUACUACUAUAUUUUAAUUAAUCAAUUUCUUUGAAAUUUUUGGUUUUAUCGGUUCAUAUACCAAAUCAUAUCUAUAUACCGCAUGUCUUUUUAAAUAGCGUUCAUUCGAUACUACCAAAUCCAUACAAUUUUAUCUAUUUGAGUUAGGUUGUUUUACUCGAUUAAACACUUACAUAUAGCAUUAAACUAAUGAAAAUAUUAGUUCCCAUUAAAACAAUACAGUGUUAAAACAUGGAUUUACCCACAAUAUCUUUACUAUUAUUUGCGAAGUGAUUUUUUGUAACGGAGAUCUCACGUUAAAAGUUAUAUCGGUUAAAGUCAAUGAUACCCUUAAUGAAUUUAUAUAUAUUUUUUAAAAUGAUAUAAAAUUAUCUAUUUAUUUGUGAAUUUAUUAUAUAAUUAAAAACGAAUUUAUAUUAAUAAUAAUUAUUUUUAAAUAGAUAAUUCUUAUAUAUUUUGUUGUUAUCUUAAAAUAAUUGUUUCUAUUAUAAAAGUUAAAAAAUAAGUAUAACACAAUUUCAAAAUUUUAAUACAAUAAUAAACAUAUUUUAAUGAUAAAUUUUGUCAUAUAUAAAUAAUUUAAUUGAUUUUAAAAAAUUUAAAUAUAAAUAAUAAAUUGUCAUGAUGGUUUUUGAAUUAAUAAGACAUAAAAUAAUAAAUAUUGGUAAGAAAAUUAGCAACAAAAUUUUCACGUUAAAAGUUAGAGCGAUUAAUAUCUAUAAUACCCUUAAUGAAUUUUAUAUAUAAUUAAUUAUAUAAUAAAAACUAAUUUUUAUUAAUAAUAUUAAAUUAAAACAUAUUUUUCAAUUAUAAAAUUUUUUAAAAAAAUAUAAAACAAUUAUAAUAAAUUAAUGGUUAAAGUCAAUAUUAUCUUUAAUAAAUUUUAAUUAAAAAUAUAUAUUUAAUUAGAUUUUUGUCAUAUAUAUAUUUAUGUUUGAUUUAUCUUUUUGAACAUAAAUAAUAAGUUACUAUGUUGGUUUUUGAAUUAAUAAAAAAUAAACUAAUAAAUAUUUGUAAAACGAUUAAGCUUGCAUAUGCGGGUAAGACACCUAGUACUAAUUAAAACACGAUCGAAGAGGCCAUUAAAAUACUCUUCAUUUUUGUGGUAAAAUAAAAAUAAAGAGUUCAGUAAAUGAUAAUUUCCUUCAGAAUAAGAGUCUUUGCAGAAUGCAUUUCGAAAUUUUGAACUUUCAAUAUAACAAAAAAUAGUUUCAAAAGAUAUAUAGCGAAAAAAUACCUGCAAAAAUGAGAAAGCUAUAUUUACAAUGUCAUUAUUAUAUGUCAACCCAGAGUUUAGUUUAUACUCCCUCUGUUCCUAAAAGAUCUAUGUUUUAGAAAACAAUUUUUUUUCAAAAAGAUAUAUUUUUCAUAUUUUCAAUGCAUAAAUUAAAUGUAAAUUGUAAACUUCAAAAAACAUAAUUGUAUUUAUUAAAAUUCUAUUGGUGAAAACAUGUGGGGAAUAGUUGAUUACGGAAAAUAAUGUAUUGGUAAAUAAAAUUUGAUAUAUUUUCUUAAUAAGUGUGAAAAUCCUAUAAUAUAUAUCUUUUAGAAACAGAGGGAGUAUUAGAUUAGUCAGUCGACUAAGGGUAAUAUAUUAUUCACUUCAUCUUAUAGCUCGAAAUUUGUUUGUUUGUUUGAUCUAGAAUCAGUUUGUAAGUUCCUACGAUGUUUCCUAUAGUUUCCAGAAGAUUGAUAUUGAUAUAUAGAACAAGUCAACGACUCCGGUCGUCUUUUGGAUGUAGACAAGCUUUAGAUCAUAUCUUAUUUUAUACGCUAUUAAGUAAAUAAUUGGUAGGUUAACUUAGGGUUUAAAUAUCAAAACAAAACUUAGCUAGGGUUUCAUAUUUUAAUCCCCAAAAUUAAGGGUUUAAUGUGACUGUAGCAACACGUGCCAGCAUUCAAAGAGAAAAAUCAGGAAAGUUUCUUGUAAAGUAAAGUAAACAAUAACAAAGAGCAUUAUGUCCAUCGUCUAAUGAUGCAACGAUGAUUGAAGCCUUGUUGUGAUAUUGCCGAUGUAUUUUUUUUUUAUAAUCUGGGGGUAUUCGAAUCCGAAGGCUCAACUAAUUUUCUGGAGGUCGGUUUUACCGGCGACAUUCAAACCAAUUGCUCUACGUAAGAGUUGGAUACCCAUACCGAUUGACCAUGUAGAUGGGUAAAUUUAAGUGGUAUGUUUCGAAUCUUGGAUAUUUACCAUUUUUCCAAACCCGUCGUGCCGAUGUACUUCUCAUGAAACAAAGUGCAAUUUUUUUUUAUCACAUUAAAACUUAAGAUUUUUUUUUCUUUUCCAAAACAUUAAGAAUUCAUAUAAAACAAAAACAAAUUUACCAAAGUAUUCAUUACUUAUAUUUAUAAAAAUAUUUGUACUUAAGCAAAAAAUAAUGCUUCUUUGCGAGACCCCUAGCAAAACAAUGCUUUAGUUCUAUAUAUCACCCAUUACGCUAGCUAGACAAUUUGUUCGAAAGUCAUUAACUACAUAACCAUAAUUGUUUUGACUUAUUCAAAUGGUGUAAGGCAAAUACAAGUCUUUGAAAGCAUGAAAUUUUCCAAUCCAACUUGCAUCCUCUGAUUUUAAAACGGCACGGAUCUCCUGUUUUUAAGAUUACAUAAGUCAAAAUCAUUAAUAGCUUGAUAUUUUUGUUCAAUAUGAUUAUAUUUUAACGAAGACGUGUUUGUUCAAAUGAUAUUUGAAUUAUACUCGUUCUACUUGUUGAUACAAAUAAUGAAAUACUAUACCACGAAACGAUUUAUUUGUACCACAUUGAUAUGUUUAACGCUGUUAAAUUUAGAGAGCAUGUCAAAUUUAUUUUUACGUCUUAUUUCUUCCACUAUAAAUAUCGUUUACAUUUAUUCAUACAUUUGUAAAUUAAAAAAAUAUUUUUCUCAAAGUUAUUUAUAACUUACACUAACUAUGUCCACGUUUCUGUCACUUUGUAAUUAUAUUAUUUAGAUACAAAUGCACCAUAUGAUGUUUGUAUCUCCAUUUUGGUAUAUAUAUGUACCAAACCCUUGAGAGUGACAGUGCCGUCUCAAGAUUAAUUAAAGGACAUGUUCAAAAAAAAAUAUUGCAGAUAAAUUUGACAUCUAAUAAAAUAAUUUUUAAAGUUUAUAGUUCUAUUUAUAUAUAUUUAAUAUCUAUUUUGAAAUUAUACAGUGAAUUUAGUAAUAUAUCUAAGAAAUUUAUAAAGUUUUAGACCAUAAUUUAUAUAUUUACUUUUAUAACAAUUCUUAAUAUUUUUUAUUUGUAGAUUCGGGUCAUGUUUGAUCGCUCUAUUUGCUCAUGCUAUUAGACGGUCAUGUUUGAGACUAAUAAUGAAUACUUAUCAUUUUAAAACUUGACUUUAUUGGAAAAAAAAACUUAAGACUUGCUGUAUCUGAAAUGUAUAUAGAAGGUUUUAGUUAAGGUUUUAAAUCUCUAAGUACAUAUAUAGCUUACGUGGUACCCCGUUCAUGUAACUAUUAGUAAACAUUUUGAUGUAUAUAUAUAACAACUAAUCUAUACACAUGGGUUUCUAACGAUUGGGUUUAGCUAAGCCACUAAGCCUAUGCCAAAUUGCCAACAUAAAGUUGAUCAUUUUAAGAAUACAAAUAACGAAUCGUAAUCUGAUCUACUAAAUCUUACAGUAAACCUAAACAUUUUGACUUAACAUGUCUAAACUAUCUUUUAUAGUAUAGGUUGUCGUUUUCCUUAGGGUAUUUAGAAACCAUCACUUUCAAAGUUUCGAUCUCGGCUUGUGAAGAUUGACCACGUCCGUCAAUCUGAUGUUGUUAAUCUAAAUAUAAAUAACUUUGAAAAGUUCAUAUAAAAUUUAUUGGUAUGUACGCAUUUUAAGGAAGAAUCUAUGCAACAAUCCAGAUGGGUUCGGCUAGAUUUUGAAUCAGUUUUCAAAACAUAACGAUAUAUACGGUAAAAUACUAAUAACCCAUCAAUAAGAAACUAGAAAGUAACUCAAAAGGUGAGAAUGAUAUAGUCUUUUCACUUCUGGAAAAAGACGUUGCUGUAUAUAUCCUAUAAACUAUCCGUAUGUUGACAAAAGCACUCUCAGAUUUUUCUUUUUAGCACUAUCAGAAAUUUCCUAGCCAAUUAUGAUGAACUUUUUUGAUUGACAUAUUCAAACCAUUUUUCGAUCAUAUGAUGCAAACCAUAUUCAAGCACGCUGGUAUUGGAACAUGUGAUGCAAACUAAAAUUCUACAAACAAUGAUGAAAUGAAAACAUUUUUCGAUCAUAUUCUUAAAACUUCGAAACCAUUCCACCAAUCCUUACACACAUCGAUGCGAUUGACAUUUUACAACUCCGUUUCAACAGCCACGUAAACCCAUCACAUGGAAGCAUGUACGCGUGUACGGCAGAUAUCAAACGAUCUCUGCCUUCUCCCAAUAUGGAAAGCGAGGAUCUUGGAGAAGACAUGUUUUGUACAAGACCACAGAACAAACUACUCAAAAAAGAGUUUGGUAUGUCGUGGGCCACCUUAAAAGCAAUAUUUUAUCGUCUUGCUUCUAUGUAUCUAAUUAGGUCCCUGCCACACGUCUUCAUCUUGGUGCGAUCACACGCUCCGCCUCUUGUACAAGAUCGUGAAGGUUAACACCUGUCGACGGUAGAACCAAGCUCACUAUAAUAAUAAAUAAUCUAUAAGGUACGAAACCUUUCAAUUCGAAUUUAAUCGAUACAUAAUGGGCGGUGUAUUAUUUAAUUGUAUUUUUAGAUUUAGUUUGAUAAUACUAAAUGUAUUUUCUGCGAAUGACAAAUUAUUGGCGAUGAAACCUAAUUGUUAUGGAGAGGCAUUUUGUAUGGGACCAUACGCUCUUGAUACGUGAUAAUGUUUUGAACGUGUCAUGAUAUCAGAGGGGGUUCAUAGUUGACUUAUAUUUGUAGUUAUUAGCUCGAUGAUUGUAAGUCAAUUCUCAUUUGAAUUUGUUCAUAUUAUGGAGAUAGUAGAGCUUGAUUUUUUCCGGAAAAGAGAGAGUUCAUAUAUGUAUAUAUACUAUAUUGCGUUAUGUACAAACUCGUAGGGUGCUGGAGGUCAUUCAGAUUCUUAAGAUAUGCUUUCCGGACUUCAACAUUCAAUACUUUUCAAGGAUGUAAAAUGGAAUUGCUGAUUCGCUAGCUAGGAAUGUCCGUUCUUUUCAUAGAUCGUUGUGUUUUGUUAGUUGUUUUAUUCCAGUCUGGUUACCUAUGCCACCUCAAGUUUGAGUAAUAGAAUAGCAGUUGGUUGCCAAAAAAAAAAUACAAACUCGUAGGGUUUUACUUUAAAAUGACUUGAUGUACUUAGAGUAACCUAUGGUUUUUAAAGAGCGAAUAUGUUUCGAUUUAGAAUGGAUUAAUUGUAUACCCUUUACAUGUAUAUGAUGAUCAUCUUGGCUCAUCAAUAUUAGGAUCAAGUCUAUGUGUUUUCUCUUAAAAUGAUACAUGAACUAAUUUAUAUAUAUAUAUUUGAUAAAAAAAGAACUAAUUUAUUUGUUAUUUAAGCAAAAAAACAAAUUUAUUUAUUUACCAUCGGGUAUUCAGUUGCAAACCUAUGAAAAUUUAAUACACAAAAAAUAUUGAAUAUAGUGUUUUAGCAAAAAUUCUUAGUAAUAUUUUCAAUGAUCUUUGUUUAUUUCCCUAUUUGGGGCAAGUCACAUGUUGAUUUCAUUUUUUUACGUUGCGUCAAUCUACAAACAGUUAAUAUGUUAUGCGAAUUUAUUGAGCUGAAUUCAAAUUUUUCAAAUAAAAUUAUGCAUAUUUUUUUCCUGUAGUAUGAAAAUAGUUGUAUUGUAUAUACACCUACAGCAAUACAACAAACAAACAAAAAGUUUGCCUUAAUGGGUUGGAGAAGUUAGGGUGCUGGGUUAUUCUCAAUGAGAAUGGUCGGGAUCCAUAUGGGUGCUUGGUUUGGCAAGAUAUAAUCUACCAAUUAUCAACAAAUGAUAUUGGGACCAUAUAGCUAUUAUGUAAUCAAUGCAAAACUUCGUACUUUUUAAGUUUAUGUUCUCUGCCCACUUCAUAAAGUCCAUAACAACAGCUUUGUAAGUUAAAUAGACUAAACGAGAAAACUAAUCCUACUAUAUAAAAGGAGUUAAAUCCUAGCCUCCUAAGCCUUGCCACAUGAACAAAAUAAUCAGAACCAACCAUUAUGCCAUGUCAUUGUGGACUGGACUUAAAAAAAAAAAACCAACCAUUAAAAUAUGCGAAGAGUCACGGUUUAACCCGGUUCAACUCCAGUUACAUCAUAAUAAAACAAUGCAUGCAUUGAUUGUUGAUUAUUAGUCUUCUAGCUACCACAUCUUUGCCAUCCUAAAUCAAAAUAUAUUUUUACAACUUUAACUUGCCCCAUACUUAAUAUUCUUAUAGCUGGUGAACAAUUUAAUUUUUAGGAAAUCGUUAUAUUUCAUGCCAAAAAUGCCUACUGUAUUCAUUGAAAAUUAAAUAACAUAUAUUCUACCAUUAGGAUCAAGAACUCUAAUCUGAAGACCAUAUAUUCAUCCCCUCUCACUCUGAAAAAACCACCACCGCCAACCGUUCAAGAUUUUGUGUAAGUCAAUAUUUGAAUGUCACAAUUUUGUCAAUUUCUUGGCAUAAGUGAUAUGUUUAAGAGUUGGAUAGUUAAGUCCGUAUGCGGUUGGGGACGUGGGGUUUGGCUCACCUUCCACUGUUUAUUUUCAAUUGUUUUAAUAAUAGAUUCAUAUUGAUAAUCUGUGCGAACAAACGUAUAAGAUUUUAGUUGGUUAAGAUUAAACAUAGACCGACAAUCUUCCGUCUUUAGCUAUUGGUCUCCGCCAAAAAAAUUUGAUUUAAUAUAAUAGUUCCUGCCUGCUAAGCUACUACAAUUGUAGUUCACAUCUAUCGGUCAUAUAAAAUAUUUAGUUUUUUUUUGGCUUUAUAAGAUUUUAGUUUGUAAUUAAUCUCAUGGUUCCAUUUUAUCAGUUGAGACUUUUUUCACUAUGUUUUAUUAUCAACCAUUUCACUUUGCCUAACAUUUAAAUAUUCUUUCCUUUAUUUAAGGAUUGAUUGUUCCUCAAUACCAUGGUCAAACCAACCGCCAAAGAUCCUCCGCUUAUGGGAGGAAUUUUGAAUUUACAAGUACAUUUUUGAAUCAAAAACAUUAUUAGUAUUGAUAUAUUAAUUUAAUACUUUAAUCCAAAACUUUAAUAAAACAAAUAUAAAAUACAAAUUAUGUUUUAUAUAUAUAUAUAUAUAUAUUUUGACUAUUUACAUCUUAUUAAAUUUGAAGUGCACAAAAAAAAGAAAAGUUACAUCUUAUUUGAUAAGAUUCCAAAUAUGUAAAUGAAAUGCUACGUUUUGAUUUUUGUUUAUUGCUACGAAACGUUUUAAAAACUUGGGAAAAGGUAAAAAUACAAACGACAUGACCGGCCACUCCUUUUCCCCCGGUUUGCAAGAAUCUAAUUGAGUUGCUUAAUAUUUGUUCCAAAUUAAUAUAUAGUUCCAUCAUAAUCAUAAAUUAAUAAUCUAUCUCUAUAUAAUUUUAUAUAAGUACUAAAUAAAGAUAUUUUUAUUCAUUUUAUAGUUACAAAACUCUAAUAAAACAAAUAUACACAUUAUUAGUAAAAUAUGUUUUUUAUUUAAAAAUACAAAUUAUGAAAGAAACUACAAUUAGUUCUUAAUAAAAAAAUCAUGCUGCCAACUGUAUCAACAGAUUCGUCAUUCACCCUUAGAAGACACAUAUAGGAAUAAUUAAAUACUUUGGCAAAAAAAAAAAAACAUUUUGAAGAUUCUUAGAUGAUGAUCGUUUUCUAUACAAACAUGCGGCACCUCUUCACCAUUGUUUUAAGAGUCAUUCUUGGGUUCACCCCCUAGGGUGAACCUCUAGGUUCACCAACCAAUAGGAUUUCAUUAUUUCAAAUUCGAUAUCUUUUAAAAAAGGAAACAAAAUAUUCUCAAAUUAUAUUAUGUUUUUAAAAUAAAUAAGUAAAAAAAGAUAAUAGUUACAGAAAAAAGAAUUAAAAAAAUAUAUAUUUUUAAUGUUCUCAACAAAACACUAAACCCUAAAUCCUAAUCCCUAAACCCUAAAUCCUAAACCCUAAACCUUUGGAUAAACCCUAAACCCUUGGGUAAACCCUAAACCCUUGGGUAAACCCUAAACCCUUGGAUAAAUCCUAAACUCUAAAUAAAAAACACUAAAACCCUAAACUCUAAACGCUUGAAUGUUUUAGUGUAUAGUGAUUUUGAUUUAGAGUUUAGGAUUUAUCCUAGAGUUUAGAGUUUAUCCAAGGGUUUAGGGUUUAGGAUUAAAGGUUUAGGGAUUAUAAUUUAGGGUUUAGGGUUUAAUGUUAUGCUGACGACGUAAAAUAUUUUUUUUUUGUAAUUAUUACUAUUUUUUUUACCUUUUAAUUUUAAAAACAUAAUAUAAUUUGACAAUAUUUUGUUUCUUUUUUAAAAGAUAUCGAAUAUAAAAUAAAACAAUCAUAUUGCUUGGUGAACCUAGAGGUUGGACCUAAGAAUAAGUCUUGUUUUAAUCCCAGGAAAACGCGUAGAAAUCUAUUAACACAAAUAUUAACAUACUUUAAUUAAAUAUGUAAUCCGCGCGGAGCGCGGACACCGGCUCUAGUUUCUAUAAUUUGUAUAUAAUCAACACUAACGAUUCGUUGAAAUUCAAUAACGCAUAGGCAUAGGUGAUCGUUUGAAAUAUUCAGAAGCUAUAUUAGUAAUUAGAGGCUAAGUGGUAGCUUAACUUCGAAUAAAGAGAUGCAUAUAUAGUGGAGUAAGUUCUUGGAGAACCGCAAGCCGCAAGUUACGUAUAUAUUUGUUUAUGUAUAUUUUAAAUCGACAUAGAUAUUUAUAAUCGUUAUGUUACUAUAAAAAAUUGUAGCAAAAACUAAAAUUUCCAAAGAAAAACCCAAAGAACAUCAACACUCAACACCAAAAUAUAGCAAACACAAGUACGUAAUUAAAUACCAUAAUAUUAACAUAUUUUAAGAUAUAAUUCCCUUAAGAUAUAUGUGUCCUGAACUCGAUAAUUCCAAGUAUCUCUUAUUCUCUUGCAUUAUUAUUUUUAAAUCUCUUCAAUUUUCUUUGACUGGAUCAAGUUAACACCUAAGCAAAGGAUGAUUGCAAAAUAAUGAAAUAUUCAUAUGGCAUAAUCAUUUCAUAUAAUUAGUUAGAACAAACAAAUAAACAUCCUAUUGAAAAAGCAAGUUUAUUUAUUGUCGUCCUAGAAAAGGGUAAAAUAUAAAUUUAAUUCAUUGGUUGCUUGUUAAGAGUUACCAUUAUCUCCCAAGCAAAAUUAAUGAGCUAGAUAAAAUUUGUAUCUAAAUACAGAAACAAAACGUAAAAUUAGGCAAACAUGGGGUCCAAUUUUCACAGACAAGAAAAACUGAAGGAGUGGGUAAGUACUAAGUAUUAACUAUUAAGUAAUCGUUGUACUAACCAUCGUCCAAUGAAUAUACCAACUAGUCUCUUUUUUUUUUUUUUUGAUCAACAUACCAACUAGUCAAAUUGAAGGAGUGGGUAAGUAUUAAGUAAUCGCUGUACUAAUCAUCGUCCAAUGAAUAUACCAACUAGUCAAAUUGAUCUAUACCAAAUCAUAACCAAACCAAACUCAACUAAACCAGUUAGACCCGCGUUACAGAAUCUGACCCGUGCCUGAAAACGAACUCGGCCCAGGCCCAUUAAGAAACAAAGUCCCAAAUAACAAAAACAAACGUUUCACCGUCGUUCUGCGCCGCCACUCUCUCUCUCUCGUCGUCGCUCAUCACAGGUUAGCUUCGCUUGAUAAACCCUAGCUGAUGAUUCAAAGUUUUCACCUUUAUUGCUGAUUCGUAACCUCUGCGUUUACAGAAAGAGGUUUUCAGCUGGAAAACAAUGGCGGGCUGGCAGAGGAAUCUACAGGUGAUUCGUCAAGUCGCGAGAAGAGUGAAGAACAGUAACAUUUCAACAGCCCAUUACUCUUCAACUCGCAAUUUAGAAUCUCCUUUCUCCAAAGGUGAAACCUUUGUCUUUGCCCAUGUUUGAGUUUUUGCUCAUUUGAGUUUUAGAGAAUGUUGAAUCAUAUCUGAGUCUAUGUGUUCUUUAUGUAUGACUUGUGUAAUAUCUUUGAUUUGUUCUGGUCCAUUGUUUUGUUUAGUUGAGUGGGUAAUGAUAAAGUUUUAAUUUUUGUGCUUGUGAAGUAGGUUACUUGCAGAGUCUCCUGAGACCAACCUACUCCUCAACACCACUGCAUCAGUAUCUACAGCAAGUGGUAAUAUACUUUGUUCGCUUUACUAGUUGCUACACUAUCUCUUUGAGCAGAUUGCUUCCAUGAUUUGCAGAUUUAUGUUUCCGCAGUUCUGCAAUGAAAGUUUUAGCAAUGUUCAAGAAAUCGGUAGGCGGUGAUUAGGCGUUUUAUAGGGGAUUAUUGGUUAUGCGGGCGUGUAAACCGAUUUUUUUUUAACACUUAAAGCCGAUUUUUAGGAUUUUGAAAUAGGGGAAGUGAGACUGUGUGUCUAGUGGGAUGUCAACAUAUAUUGUCUAUGUUAAUUAGGAGUAAAAAAGAUCAUAUCUUUUUGAAUUAUGGAACUCUUGUGACAAUUAGGAACGUCUACUUUUGGGGUAUGAGAAUCAUGGAGUGUUGUUUAAUUGCUUUCAGGGCAUUUCUACCUCGAGAACACUUAAGGCUAGUGAAGAGCCUAUAUCAUCACCUUUGUCAUCUCCAGCUCUAUUAGGUAGUGGCAAAGAAGAAGAGCAGAAGAUUAUCCCAAAGCGUAAAAAAGUGCAGGCUGUACUCAAAGCCAUAAAGCAGGUGUGUGUGUGUGUGUGUGUGUUCUUUGACUCUCAACAGAACUCUCUCUUUCACAUGAUUUGCUCACCCUUGUUUUGUUUCAGAGUCCUAAGAAGGUCAACCUAGUUGCAGCACUAGUGCGCGGUAUGCGUGUUGAAGAUGCUCUCAUGCAGCUCCAGGUCACAGUUAAACGAGCUUCCCACACUGUGUACCGGGUAAUCUCUAAGAUCUGAGCUUGAAACAGACAACUCGUUUCAUUAGUACCAAUGUUCAAGAAAUCGCUAGGCGGUAAUUAGAUGAGAUUAUUGAAUAGGCGGGCGCAUAGACCGAUUUUUUUAAAUGAAAAUAUCGGUUCGUUGAGGACUGAUUUGCCAUUAAUACUACAGGUUAUUCACGCUGCUCGAGCAAAUGCUUCUCAUAACCAUGGACUAGAUCCUGACCGUCUCAUCAUUGGUAUGUACUAACUGAUUCCUCUGCUUGCUGCAUUUAAGGAACGGUUUAUUUUAUUCUAAGCUUUUGAUAUGUGAUUGCAGCUGAAGCCUUUGUUGGGAAGGGACUCUUCAAGAAGAGGAUAUCUAUCCAUGGAAAAGGAAAAUGCGGGUUGAUGAUAAGACCAGAGUGUCGCCUAACUGUCAUAGUUAGGGAGAUUACUCCUGAGGAAGAAGCUGAGAUUGCGAAGCUCAAAGUUCAUAACUUCAAGAAGCUAAGCAAGCGGGAGAGGAGGCUUGUCCCCCACAAGCUGAUUGAGACAACUCCAAUCUGGAACCGUAGAGGCACUAAAGCUAGUCACCGGUCCUCAGAGUUGGUGCCAUCUCGCUAGUGUCUUCUUUGUUCCUUGAUGGUUUGGUUACAAGGAGAGGCUUGUCUUCUCUAUGCGCACCUUCUUUGCUUUUUGGUUUGGUAUUGUUCUGGUACUUAAUAGGACCGGUUUAUUUAUUUGCAUUUCAAUAAAAUGUUGUAAGAACAAACCAAAUCGUUAGAUUUGGACUAAGGUAUAAUCAGUAGACCUCAUUUUCAAAUCCAAAACUUUCUCAAAUGGUUUGUAUUAUUCAGAAGAAUGCACAUAGUUUGGAAUCAUUUCCCUUGAUAUUUUGUAAGCAAUCUUAUUAUGCAAAGUUUUGUGUUUCAUCCAAUAUUCUAAAAAAUGGUCCAAAUCAGUCAUAAAUAAAACAAUUUCUUCACAACAAUUUUUUUAAAAAAUUGGUAUGAACUUAGGUUCCCAUCUAAACAAUUUUUUUUAUAAAAUAUUAUAAUUCUCGCUUAGUGAUUUGUUAAAUAGUAGUUUCACCAAUAAUAUUUUUCUUUUUAAGUGUUUUCACAAAUGUUUUGAGUUCUUGUUUCUUUUUUUUUGUCAUCAUUCUUGUUUCUUAUAUUUUUGUUUAUUUGAUUAGAACUCAUCUCUCUAUAUUUUUGUAUUAUAAAUUUAUCAUGUUUAUGUUUUCGAAGUAAUAUUGAUUGUAGUAUCUGCACAAUAACGAUGAAAUCGAACGGUCAUAAAACCAAGACCAAACCAUGACUGAUCAAGCAACGUGGCUCAACUUCGUCUCGACUCCUCUCAUACUCACGGACACGUGUGGUCAAGCCCAACUUACUUCAUAUGGGCAACUCUCUCUUGUGCUAAAAACAAUGUAAUAACAAUUUCAAAAGACGGUGGUGAGAGAGAGAGAGUACAAGAAAAGAAAAAAGCAAGAAGAUAAUUCGACGGCAGAAAUGUUUUCAGCUAUCGGAAGUUUAUUGAGGCUCAUCUUCAAGAACUUGGACGUCAUCGCUGGGUACAUGAAUAAUAAUUUUAACAUAUAGCCAAAGUUUUAGCAAAAAAAUAUAUAUAUAUAGCCAAAGCUAUUUUCUGGUUUAGUUCAUUAUGUUAAUUUGAUUCUUUUUGCAUGUGCUGUGGUGUGUGCAGACCUAUCAUUAGCUUGGUUUAUCCUCUGUAAGUCUAAUAGAACUCUCUCGCUAUCUGAUUAAUUUGCCUAUUAUUUCAAUUAAAACUUUGGUUUAUACUUUGAUCUAGAUACGCAUCAGUGAGGGCAAUAGAGUCGAGGACCGGUGGAGACGACAAGCAAUGGCUCACUUAUUGGGCUCUUUAUUCACUUAUCAAACUCUUUGAGCUUACUUUCUACAGACUCAUCGAAUGGUAAGUUUAUUACACAAAUAAUCUAAUGAGGCUUCCUUGAUCUGCAAGGUUCGAUCUCUGAAAACAGAGUGAAUCAUAUGUUUGUAUAUAGUAGGGCUCUAACAAACCUAUGAUAAAUUGAUGUCUAGGAUCUCACCAACCAAUCUUGCUAUAGAAAAAUGCUUUGAUACAAGUUGUGUUGGAGGGUCAGUGAUGUUUAGCUUUCGUGGAGUCCAAGUAACGUUCUUUAGGUUUUUGUGCUUACUAAUGUUUACAUCACAACAUUAUUUGAGCUAACCAUUAAAUGGUGGUUCAUAGAAUCAUAUAUCUACAUUCUGUUUGAUAAGAUAUUGUGGAUGUUUUAAAACUAACCGCUGGAGUGUGCAAGUUUCUUAUUUUAUAUGGACUAAUUAAAGUUUUGAGGUUCAUGUUAUGAUCAGGAUUCCGUUAUGGCAAUAUGCCAAGCUAGCCUUAACCUGUUGGUUGGUGUUACCGGGAUUGAGCGGCGCUUCUUACCUCUACGAGAACUAUGUGCGUUCAUUCCUUUUAAGCCCACAUAGUGCUAACGUGUGGUACGUACCAGUUAAGAAGGAUGAUGAUGACUUAGCAGCAGCUGCUGGGAAAUUUACUCCGGGUGAGCCUACAGAAAAGCAUGCUAGCUCGGUAUGACUUCUAAACUCUGUCUAAAACAAUUUUUUGUGACGUAAAUGUUCGAUUUGGAAACUCGAUGUUUCGUUGAUUGUUUCUAUUUUUUCAGGUGGAUACAUCAGCCAAAUAUGUUGGGGGCUCGGCCUUUGAUGAUACAUAUGUAUACUAGUAAAGCUACUUGUGGCCCUGUUGUAGCUUAAUAUCGUUACCCAUCUUGGUGUACCGUAUACUCUAUAUUUGCUUUUUUAUCUUUGUUUCUCUUGAUGAAUGUGGUAGAUGUGUAAGCAAGCAACGAAUAAAAUUUCUAACUUCACCAAAAAAUAUGUAUAUGUUUCCUUAGUGCAUGUUAGUACUUAGCAGAGACACAUCCACGUGAUGGCGUUAUACAUUACACAAACUCAGCAUUGUGAUUUGUGAACUGAGAUUAGCUGUAACUCUGUAACGAUAACGAACCAAGGAGUUAAUGCAUCUUGCCGGUGUGACAAUAUAAAAAAUUGUGUCUUUCUUUGGUUUUAAAAUAUAUACAUUGUGUGUUGUUCAAAAAAAAAAUACAUUGUGUUAAUAAUACAUAUUAAAUGUUUUUGUACUUAACUAUAAAUAAAAAUUAUAAAAAAAUACAAUUGGCUGCACAGUUUUUUUUUGAGAAAAAUUAAGAUUACCUAUAUAUAUGUGAAAGUAUUUUAUUUUGCAGAGAGUAUAUAGUUUUUGUUAAUUCAACAAUAAUUUGAGUUUAAACCAAAAAAAAAGUUCUCAGUUCCCUUAUCUUAAUACAGGAAAAAAAGAAAUUAUAUUCAAUACUUCAACGUAAAAUAAAAUAAAAAGUUGGUUCACGCGAGACAUCAUAACGACUAAAGUAAGUUUAAUUAAAGUCUUUUCUGCCUUUAGCACUUUUUCUCCUUUCUCACGGUUUCAUUGGCUCUCCCUCUUUUGCUCUGCUUCAGUUUCUCUUCCCAAAAACAAACUAUCGUAUUGCAUCUGAGUAUCCGAGAGAGUUUCUUUUGAUUUUAGAGAGGGGCUAAAAUGGCGACGAACAUUGGUAUAAUGGAUAGUGCUUACUUUGUUGGAAGAAACGAGAUUCUUGGUUGGAUCAAUGACCGUCUUCAUCUCAAUCUCUCUCGCAUUGAAGAGGUAUAUAUAUAUAUAUAUAUAUAUCUUUUGUUUCUGCAUGUGUUUGUUUCAAUGUCAGAUUUGUUUUCACUUGUGGUGCAUUGUCAAAUAAAGAGGACGUGCCUUGAUAAUGUCGGUGGACUAUGCAGAUUUAUUUUGAGAUAUAUUUAGUUUUGAGAUUUGUUCUCUCUCAUGAAUCAUGAUCUAACUAAUCUAGUCGGAUGUGUUACUCUCGACACUUUUUCUGAUCCUAUAACUAGUGAGUGAGGUAUUGCAGAUUUCUUGGAAGUAUAUUCGUUUAUCUUGGUUCUGUCUGAUAAUCAAGGUGUUUUUGAGUGUGUUAAGAUGCAAUCUCUGUAUUUUGAUGCUUAGCUACUGGAGCAACUCGUAUGUCUGCUGUUGAAUAUUCCGGUUUUUUAUAUCAGUUUUUGGCUUUAUAGAAAAAGUGGUAAUUGCAAUUUAUGUUGUGUAAUAAUCUACAUUUGUCAGCUUGAUACUUUUAUGCCUUUGAUAUUCAAAACGCUUCAAGGGUUAUUAAGAUGUUUUUACUUGUUUGUUUUCAACUGAUACACUUGCAAGUAAGCACUGAGACUGUUAAUAUUUCUUGCUUUUGAGACUGUUUAUCUAAGUGGCUUAUGGUUGGUAGGCUGCAUCGGGUGCUGUUCAAUGCCAGAUGAUGGACAUGACCUUUCCAGGGGUUGUGCCUAUGCACAAGGUACAUUUUAUAUGCAUCUCUUGUUUGCUUCUUUGCAGAGGAAUCUAAAUCUUCAACUCUCAGGUUAACUUUGAUGCAAAGAACGAGUACGAGAUGAUACAAAACUACAAAGUCAUGCAAGAAGUCUUCACCAAAUUGAAAAUUACAAAGGUAAGUUACAUUUGCCUUUGAGAUAAUGAUCAUGUGGGCUAAUAAUGCCUUUAAAAUAUCUAAAUCACUUGCAAUAUUUUUGUCUUUAAUGGGAAAAAUACAUCAGCCAUUGGAAGUCAACAAGCUUGUCAAAGGGAGACCACUAGACAACUUGGAGUUUCUACAAUGGCUAAAACGUUUUUGUGAUUCCAUAAAUGGUGGCAUUAUGAAUGAGUGUGGACUCUUUUGCUACCUUAAUAAUAACUAGAAGUCUUCUUAAUGUCACACCACUGGUUUCAUCAUUUGUAGGAAUUAUAAUCCAGUUGAACGAAGAUCAAGAGGUGGUAAAGAGAAAAGUGUAAAGGGGUCUAGUAAGGUCUCAAAGUCCAUGCAAACAAACAAUAUGCAUCAGCCUCCUCCAGUCACUACUUCCAACAAAACAUUUGGUCCGUCAUUUAAACUAGCUUCUUGAUCCAGUUUAUGACUUUUUCUAUAUAUAUUUUUAGAACAUUCUAAACUCCUAGGUCCCAAGCAAGCAAAAUCACAUGCUGUUGGAGGUGGGAGCAACUCAUCAGCCGAAGUGCAAGCUCUGUCAAAGGAGGUGACUAAUAGUUUUCAUUCUUUAAGGUUAAUGAGAAUAAACCUUUAAUAUGAAACUUUCUUUGACAAUACUAGCUUGAAGAUCUCAAGGUCUCGGUUGAUCUCUUGGAAAAGGAAAGAGAUUUUUACUUCAGUAAGCUCAGGGAUGUAGAGAUACUUUGUCAGACUCCUGAGCUCGAUGAUCUUCCAGUAAGUGUCAUAGCAAUGCUUUUUUGUCUUUAUUUCCCUUUGUUUGAACUCAAAAAAAUGAAAAUGUGAGUAUGUAUUUGUUGAAACCACGAAAUGUGCAGAUAGUGGUAGCGGUUAAGAAGAUAUUAUAUGCAGCAGAUGCUAAUGAAUCUGCAUUAGAAGAAGCUCAAGAGUGCCUAAGCCAGUCUCUAGGGCUUGGGGCUGAGGAAGUAGAACAAGAAGCAGAGACCCAGACUUAAAGUUGUGAUUUCUAACAAAAUGAAGUUUUCAAAGUAGAGGAUAACAAUAAUCAGCUUGAAAAUUUUAAUAAUAAAAGAACAAAUGCUUAACGAUUAAUUUUUUGUUUGAAACACAAAUAGAUGCCACAUUGAGGCAAAACACAAACUAGUGGUCCUAUGUUAUUCAAGUUUCCAAGUGCAAGAUGCUUUCAUUCUUAUCAAAAAGAAUAUAAUCAGCGUACGGCUUACCAAACCAGUGGUCCGAUGUUAGUCCAACAUUAAACUUUCUCAAAUCAUUCUUUCGAAGAUCAUAAUAGAGAAGGUAAUAAUUGGAAAACAACUUACAAGGUGCCAAUAUAACCUCGUCGGUUUGAGUUGUGCCUCGUACCAACAAUUUAAUGCUCUCAUUGAGUAAAUGCAUCUGACAAGGCUGCAAAACCAGGGACUUCGUCGACCAUGCUCCACCAUCUUCCAAGACCCAUAAGUCCACCUUGCCCAUCUGUAUAAGAUAGGUCUGAUCAAAAAUAGCUGGCUUUCCUCCAUAUUCUAUAAAGCCGAUUGGGUUAUCUCGUAUUAAUCCAGACAACUCCUUAGGUACUUGGAUCAUAUUGAACUGUUCAGAUCUAACAUCAAAACUGACAAGGACGUAGCAAGACAAACUAACGUAAGCCAAAUAAUAUAUAACUCCACUGAUGCAUAGUCUUCCUAUUGUAGGAAUGUGAGGUUGACAAUCAAACCCAAUUCUUUUCCAAAAACCUCCACUUUCUAGUACGUAGACCCAAUGCUCCGAGGUUAAACUAUUUAUACUUGUUAAGAGCGUACUAACAAUGCAUAAUAUUUUGUAUUGAUCAAGAACAGGAUCGUGUCCGAAAUAGUAGAUGAUACUCUCAUCACAACCUUUGACUUUUUGGGAAAAUUUGAUGACCGGUCUGACCGGUAAGGUUACACUUUGUCUAGUGGUGGGAUUAUAGAUACACGCUUUUCCGCAAACCAUGUACAAAAUCAAUCCACGAAGAACCACCAUAUCGUGUCCUCCCAUCCCUUGCAUGGUCAAAUCUAAGUCAAAAGAUUCAACACUAUUACUAGUCGAUGAUGAUAACGAUAGCAGUUGAGACUCACGGGGCUCUGGCAGACCCCAAUGGAAUCACACAUAUAGUGGUGCAUCAAACUCAUGUAUAGACAAGGUGGUCGCCUUGGGGAUGCGACAGUAACAUAAAGGUUGCUAAAAUAUCGAGAACGGAUAAGAAGUGACCAUUUCUUUUUUUUUUGGGUAAAAUGUUAAAUAUUAUAUCAAUUUUUCAAUUUUGACAGACAUUACAAUAGACGACUAGUAGCAGAAAAUAAACGACAAAAUGACACCAUAACAAACUACGGACAACACCAAAGACCGAACCUAAGAGCAAUACAACACAAGCGAUAAAACAGAGUGAUAACGAGACAGCCUCAGACCAAACUACUCUAGAACUAAAUGAAGAAACCAACCGGUUACCGCGAGCUACCGAGAAAAGGGUGCCCUCAAACCCUGAUUGCAACGGCUCCUACAGCUUCCAACUGAUACUCCAUCGCGAACUAAAGCAAAGAAUCCAAGCUCGAGCCCCAAAGUAGGCCUGGUAAAAGAGACCACCGACGGUACGAGGAGAAGCCGAAGUCCGACGAUGCCGUCGUUCGAUGGUUUGUGCCGAAGAAUACCGCCUCCAUUGCAUUCCACCAAGACCGUAUACACCCAUCUAACCGGACUCCAUAUAGAAGUAACGGAUCNNNNNNNNNNNNNNNNNNNNNNNNNNNNNNNNNNNNNNNNNNNNNNNNNNNNNNNNNNNNNNNNNNNNNNNNNNNNNNNNNNNNNNNNNNNNNNNNNNNCGGAAGACGGACAACCCUCCGGAAGAGACAAAACCAAAGCCAUACUUGGUGCCUGUAGUCGAAUCAUCGCACCAAAAAACCCACUCGAGCUGAUGAGGCCCGCAAGCCACAGAGACAAUGAUGUUGCGAUUAUUGGAGAAGAGCAAGCAGCAGAGCAGGCCACUUCGCCAACACCACACCAUCUGAGGAGAGGAAUUAGCAGCAACCAGCAGCAAGAGCCGAAACUAGAGCGAACCAGAGCCACCAAAGACCAUCCACGCACAGCCACAGAGAGUCACUGACAGAGAGCCAAAGCACCACCACCAACGAAACCCUGUGCGCCACCACCACUGGAGAACGCAGCGGAGGUUCCUCAAAGAAGCAGAGGAAACCGGCAAGAAACCAGAUCCCCAACACCACAUGCAGAUUCACCCACCACCGGACGAACCAGAAGAAGAACGAAACAAUCUCAUCAGCGAUUUAGCAGGCAAUCUAGUCAGAAUCUCGAUCAUGAGAUCCCACGGAAUCUCCAACACCACCACCAAACAAUCUAGUUUAUGUCUUCUUCCUCUUCCCAUCGCCUUUGACAGCCACUUCUUCCAUUGAAUAGCUGACAUCAGAGAUAGAAACUUAACCCUGCCCUACUUAAUAUUUCUUAUGUACAACGAACCACCGAAACUUAUAUAUAUAUAUAUAUAUAUAUCCAAAUUCUACUCCAUAAUCAUUUAGGAAAAAGAAACUUUGAUAUUUUACAUUUUUAAAAGAAAGAAAAAGGUAUAUAUAUAUAUUUUAUCAUAUGUGUGUGAGUUGGAGAGACAAGAGCAGAGACUUAGCCCUUAGGAUCUAUGGCUUGAAGAUGUUGUUUUUACGUGGAUGGAUCAAACCCUAGGAUUAGAUCCCAUCACAUUAGCAUUACAUAUUAGGGUAAGAAGUUUGUAACACUUCGACCAAUUACAUUAAUUUAUUGUCAGAAGACUGAUGAAGGCUAUAACCUCGCUGACAUGUUAACAAAACCGUCACCAAGGAUAAAUUUGAAGGUUCUCUGGAGGAUGUCAAACAAGGGUGUUUCUGGCUCCUUUUCAUUGAUCACGUGUUUGUAUAACCAAGAGGUGAUUUAUAAUAUCCCAAUGGCUUGAGAUCCUAUCCAGUUUAAUGAAUCAGAUAUCCUAUACAGUUUUUUUUAAAUCCUAUGCAGUUUCCAAAAACCGCGAUUUUCCCAGACACAAGAGACGAGCAUAGAGACUCAGGAUCCAGGGCUUUAAGAUUUUGUAUUUUUGUCCCCCUUUUUGACUUGGGUUCGAAGAUUUUAAAAUUUCUUCUUUAUUCCCAACCAAACGAAUGAACGAUGUUAUUUGUCUUGCCAUAUCCUAACAAAGUGUAGCAAGUCUGACUCAAAUAAAAAGCCUUGGUUCAUUUGUUUACAAAUUUCAUUUGGCCUUAACAUAUUUUGCGAUAACUAAUAUAAAAAGUAUGAAGUGGUUCAUUUGUUUGGGAUAUAAUAAAAUCAUGAUUCGAGUAACGUUUAGUAUUUUUAUGGUUCUUUUGUGUGGAAGACCUUUUUAUUUGGAGUACUUAAUCAUUUUUAAUGGUUUCAGCUACAUUUAAACACAAACUUAAAUCAAUUAAAAUUCUAGUCACAAAUAUUUGUCAGAAAAUAUGAUUGGCCAAUAUGAUCAAACUAAAUGAAGAAAGCUCAAGUUUAUAGAUUAAAAUUUUGGGUAUCAGACUAAAAAUUGUCUUAAAUUCUAUCAUCUCUGGAGCUACAAUUUCUGCCUUACACUUAUUUGUGCCCACUUAGUGUAUCUUAAUCAGUUUUGUAUUUCUACGCUUUUUUUAUAAAAGAUUUGUGUUCAGCAUAACAUGUAAAACUUUGUUUUCAGCCUCUUUUAAAACUUUCAAAUUUUUAGGAGAAAUUUUAUAUUAUUUGAUUGAUAAUGCAUAAUGUGAAAACAAAUAGAAUAUGGCAUCUUGUCAAUGAAAUUAAUUGAGAUGUCAUGUUUUCUUUGUCUUACGCUCACUUAGUUUUUCUUAAUCAAUCUUGUAAUUUAAAAAAAAAAACUUUUGUAUUUCCACGUUUUUAUAAAGUUUCUAUCUCUUCGAAUAUUUUUGCUGUAAAAGCUUUCUUUUCAUCAUAACUUAAAAACUUUAAAAAAAAAUUAGGUUAUAAAAACCUAAUUAAUGUAACUGAGUAAUAAGAAAACAAAUAGAACAUGACAUUCUAUCUUUGAGAUCGUUGAAAUUGUAUAUUUCAGUUGCUUUACACUAAUGUUCACUUAAUUUUUAAAUCAAUCUUGCAAUAACUUCUUUUAUAAGAUAUUACAUAAUAAUAAUGUGGAAGAAUACACAUGAACAAUAGUAUUAUAGAGUCAUAUAAUAUAUAACACCAAAUUUUAACCAACAAAUUUGAAAUUUUACCAUAACCAAAUUUUGAAGUUUAUAAAAGUGGAAACAGUGUACGCGCGGAUGAAGCACGAGUUAUCCUUUAUUCCAAGACAAUGCAAAACCGGAUGGUAGACUUAAUUUUCUUGUAAAAUAUAUCCCAUCAAUUUUUGCAGUCCAUACACGUAGCUGACCACAUCGAGGGAUAAGUCUUGGUCCUGCUUUGUAUACUUGAACGUCAUAAGAAUACUCCAUCUUAGGUCCUUGCCUUAAAAUACAGUCCCACUUUGUUAAAUUCGGUAUCUCAUCGUGGAAUCUAAUGAUAUAUGGAACAUCAUUGAAGUUUAAGGUUUUUACACCUAUAUCGUCGUCCCCGGAACGACAAUGAAAUUGGAGAACUUUACCCGGACCGAGUUGAUUAUGAAUUUCUACUUGAUUCUUUUUGCAGGCUUCAUUUAGCCCAAAAUAUGUAGAGGUCACUAAUAUAAAAAGUACAAAGUAGUUCAUUUGUUUGGUAUCUAAAACCAUGAUUUGAGUAUCGUUUAGUAAUUAUAAUUCUUUUGUGUGGAAGACCUUUUUAUUUGGAGUACCAAAUAAAAUUCUUUUUGUAAAAUGGAUUUAGCUAAAUUUAAACACAAAUAUAAACCAAACAAACUUCUUGUCACAAAUAGUUUGUCUGAAAAUAUGAUAGGCAAAUAUGAUCAAACCAAAUGAAGAAAGCUUAAAUUUAUAACUCACCAUAGAAUGAUAGAAUCCAAACUAAAGUAAAAGCUAAGAUAUAGUCUUGAAAGUGUAGUGUUUCAAAAGUAAAUUUACCUAUUGAUAUACACAAAACAAUUGCAACAUAAAUAAAUUUACAACAAUGUAAAAAAAGAAGGUAAAUUGACAAAACUAGACAUCCAUCUGAAAAUUUCUAGUAAUUUCUUUUAUCCUCUCCAUCUCCUAUCCCACCAUUUCAGCUAUUUGAUCUCUGCAUUUGUGUGUUUUGAGAUUGAGAUUAUAUUCAAGUCGCAUAAUAGUAAAUAGUGAUGAUGACAAGUGAACUGACAUCACUUACUUUUGUUGUUGGUCUAUUAAAUUGGGCAAAUUAGAAAUCACUGUGGCCCAAUAGUUAUUGACUUGUGGGAGGACUCUUAAAACCCAACACAUUGACCUAAAGAAAACUUUUUAUUAUUACUUUAGGAGAAAGAAACAAGGGAUGGACAAAACGUUGUGCCAAUGGUAUACAUUCUGAGGUGUACUAUCGUCACGUUAGCUUUUCUCCUAAUCUUAUCUAGCCCACGUUAUCAAAAGGAGAGGGUAUUUUCGUCUUACUAAACUCCAACACGGAAUAGACCCAUCAAAGAAUUGGUAAAAGGAAAUAGAAAAAAAAAAACUAUUAGCGGCCGCAAACUCCAUAAUCAAUCUGACAUAUAUAUUUUUUUUAAAACAAUGUUUUAAAUGUUGUUUACGUCUUCUACACGGAGAAAAGGACAACAAAAACUUUAUAUAUAUUAAAUAAAAAUGCAAAAACCGCAGAUUACAGUUAAACUAAAGGCGGUUCAAGUUUCCUCUUCUGUAAAUCUUUCCUUAUAUAUACACACACUUGGAGCUCAAGUUCUUGUUCUUUCUUAUAACUCAAAACACACAAAGAAACGAUUCAACGCUAAAGACUAUUUUUUACCAAUGGAUUACUCAGAGCAAGAAGAAAGAUCAACGAUAUCUGAAUCUGGAAGCUCUAACUCGUACGAUCAGCAACGACCGUCGUUCGCCGACGAGCUCGGGCUCAUGGAGCUGCUUGAAGGCGAUAGAGCUUACGAUCUUAUCUACCGAAACUGUAAAUCUGCUCUCGGGGACCAAUGCGAUCUUCUCUCGAUUCUGAGAAACGGGUUUGCCACCGUUGGAUCUCGCGCUAAGCUCAAAGCUUUCCAGGUUUUUCAAGAGGCGGUGGAGAUGAAGCAUGUCGGUGAAGGCGGCGGCAAAGCUAGAGUUAAGUACGGUUGGUGCGCCGUCAAGAAAACAGAGUUGAAGUCGGUUCUUGAAUACGGUUUUAGCCAGCCAAGAAACGAUGGAUGUUAUGGCCGUGGAUUGUAUCUCUCCCCGGAUAAUGCUCUUCUUGAAUGGUAAUUUAAAUAUUUUAUGUCCAAAACUUAUUUUAUUUUAGAAGCGUUAAAAUUUUAAUUUUGCUUUAAAGAUAACUAAAAUUUUAAUUUUGUUUUACAGUGAUUUCUCCAAUUUUGCUUUAAUUGAGUUUUGUUUUAUAGUUUUUUUUAUUUCUUAAAAACUCGCGUUUGUUCAAAUUCAGUGGUCUCACUCACUGUUUUGUGUUUCUUGAUUUUUAGUUUGAAGGACUCAGCUGCUGAAUCAGAAGAUGGGAUGAGAUUCUUGCUGCUUUCGAGAGUUAUACUUGGAAAGUCAGAGAUUGUUCCACUAGGCUCGACUCAGUCAUGUCCGAGCUCUCCAGAGUUUGAUUCAGGUGUAGAUGAUUUGGCUUCUCCGAGCAAGUAUAUUGUGUGGAGUACACACAUGAACACACAUGUGUUGCCUGAGUUUCUUGUCUGCAUCAAAGCUCCAUUUAACAUCAACAGUAAGUAAAAAAUAAACAAAGCCUUUAUUUCUUUGUUACUCUGUUCUGUUUUUUAAGUUUCUGACAUGAUUUUAACUUUUUUCAGGAAGUGCAAAGAGAUUGAGAUCACCAUGGAUGGCGUUUCCUGUACUGAUCAAAGCAUUAUCCAAGUUCCUACCUCCUUCUCAAAUACUCAUCAUUCAAAAACACUAUAAAGAUCAGCAAGUAAGUGUUUUCUUUAUUCAACCAUUUUUGCUUCUUUUUCAAGCAAUUUUCACACAUUUUUACUAAUUGGUUUCUUUGUGUAUAACAACAGAACAGGAGAAUCUCAAGGAGUGAGCUAAUACAACGAGUCAGACACAUAACCGGUGACAAGUUGCUUGUUCAUAUCAUCAAAGCUUUUGGACAUAAAGUACAACACUAAAACUUAAGCGCACAUGGUUUGUAUCUGCUGGGCUAGGAUUAAGGCCGGUCCACAGAUUAGUCUCUAAGGCUAAGCCAUGUGUCUGUUGUUUUUUUCAAGAUAGUGACGAAUUCUUCUUGUAAUAGAUAACGAUUGAUGAAAAAAUAUUAAGAUAGAAUGUAGUGGCAGCUCAAAAAUGUUUCGAGUCCCCCGGGACAAUUUCUUUGGAGCGAUCUAAUAAAUAUUUCGAUUUCUGUAACGAUUUAGUUCUUUUUAUAUAGCACCGUUUACACUAAAUUGUUUAUGAGGCCCGUUCAUAUGUAUUAUGAGCCACUUUUUAGAACACUAAUACCACAAGUACAGAAGAGGACUAUAGUCCCAAUUUACAAAAUAUCGAAUUUAAAAAUAUUUUUGUCAAGAGGAAUAUCCCCUAUAUAUUAUUUGUGAAACAUUACAACUUUUUUUUGUAGACACGUGUCAUCACGUGUCAUCACUAAGAUGAUUCCUAGAAUUAUUAGAAAAAUAUUUUGGUCCAUCUAAUUAUAUAAUAAACUUUUUAUUAAACUAACCAUAAAUUUAUUAUUAAUGUCAUUUAUUAUUUCCUUAAAUAAAGAUUACAGAAUUGACUAAUGUGUCUAAAGUAUAUAUGACAAUUAAUGAUUUUAAAUAAUAAAGAUCUGAUAAAAAAAAUGUAUCUUCUAUCAAAUUUGCUUAAUUUUAAACUAUUAAAAUAAUUUUAAAAAAUCACAAUAACCAUAUUAUAAAAAUAUAGAUUUUUCUGUAUAUGUUAUAUUUUGAAUUUUAAAAAAUGAUUAUAAAUUACUAAAAGUGUUAAAAGUCUCACAUUCAAAUUUUGCGAUCCAUGGUUUAAAUUUUUUGUUAUGACAAAAUACAAAUGAUUACAAAAUCAUAUAAAUAAAGGUAUAAUUUAAUUAAUCAUUAAGAUUUAAAAUAUAUAUGUAUAUAUAUCAUUCUAAAUUAAACUAUAAACCAUAUUGAAUAAAUAAAUAUUUUAAUUUCAAAAUUUACUUUGAAUAAUUUUCUUUGAUAAAAGUUUUGAACUAACAUUGAUUAUUAUUUUUUAAAUUAUAAAUUACUAAAAUUAUUAAUCCUACAAUGAAAAUUUUGUUAUUAAUAAUUUAAAGUUUUUGCUAUUAAAGAUACACAUGAUCAAAAAAACAUAUGAGUAGAAAACAUCAUUUAAUAGACAUUAAUAUUAAAAAUAUACUAUGUAUGUUAAUAUCAUUUAAAUUUAAUUACAUAUCCUAUCAAAUUUUUAAAAAAAAUUGUUUGGAUUAAUAAAAUUGAUUUAUACGUUCGCACCAAUUUAAUUAUAUAUGUAAUAGUUACUGACUUUUAAUUAUUCAAUAUAUAUUUAUUAUUUCAUAAUAUGUAAGAACAUAUUAUACAUAAAAUAAUUUUUAUAUAUAAUAUUUAUCCCACACAAGGCGCGGAUCUUAAUCUAGUUUAUUAUUAUUCUGUAAAAAAUAUACAACCAUGCACUUAUAUCUGAAAAACAUUUGAAAGAAACCUAAUAACAUGUGCUAGAAAAAGAAGACAUCAAAUACUAUACCUCACAGUAGAUAGCUUUAUUAUCCAAACAAACAAACAAAAUCCUCUUUAUAGCUCUCAUUCUCUUAAUCCGUGGUAAACUACAAAACUCUCAGCUAAUUUAUUUCGAUGUUACAGCAAACUAAGUGCUCUCUUUAGCUAAUUUAUUUCUUACUAGUGAACUCUCACACACCACUUCUCAAGUCGAUGCAGGAAGUUCCCAGCCUUGUGGAACCGGACCAUAGUCAUAUAUAAUCUCUCUGUGGCAUGACCACACCAGCUUUAUAGCUUCAGGUGUCCCUAUCCCUGCUCCUCUCGGAUCCCCAGCCGGUCCAAACCUGUUGUAACAUAAUUUUGAGAUUUUCUAUAACAAAGAUGAAAGUUUGAGAUUUAUUUCUCUAACCAGUGAUUCUGAGGAGCUCCAGUUGUUCUUCCUCUGAGUCCAGCAUGUGUAGUCCCAUUCACCGAGUUCCCUAUCACUUCCUGCACACAUUUAUUACAUCAUUAUCUUUGCGAGAAUAGAUUGAUUGGUUUAUAAUGAUGGUGAAAAGACUUGCCUGGAUAAAGAUGGGAUCAUUUGAAACAACAGCUGCAGUUAGAUGAGCUGCAUCCUCUCCAAAGCAUCCAACACAAGAGGAAGCUGAUCCUUUUUGUACUCCGUUACAAUCUGAAACGGUCCAAAGAUCUCUUUGGUGACGAGUUCAUAGUUUUUACUGUCCUUCAAGAUCUCUUCAAUGGGAACAUAAACUGCAGUAGGCUCCAAAGCUCCGUAUACAGAAGGAAUCGAAUGAUUCUUCAAUGGUUUCCCACCAAAGAGCAGCUUGGAGCCUUGAAUCUGAAGUAGAUUCUCCAUGUGCUCCAACAUUGCCUCAGUUGUAAACUUAUAAACAGUCAUGAAAGAAGAAGUUUUAAUCAAUGUUCAAGAAAUAGCUAGGCGGUAAUUAGGCGUUUUAUAGGAGAUUAUUGAUUAUACGGGCGCCUAGACCGAUAUUUUGAACGAGUAGGCCAAUUUUCUUUUAAAAAUCGGUAAGCUUAGGUCCGAUUUUUAGAACACUGGUUUUAAUGAUACAAUCUCAUCGGAUGAUUAAACAAAUGGAACUUACUGUUUUUUUUUUUUGUUUUUUUUUUUUAACUUUGUCUCCUCCUCUCUAACGGGACAUUGUUUCAAAAUUACAGAAGAAAAGAAAUAGAAGAUAAGGCUGAAUACAAAAGAAAUGUGAAACACAUGCGCAGCAACAAAUUUAACAGAGUAAUGUCUUGAUUGAAGUGAUCUGGAUCACAAGGAGAAGUGCUGAAACCAUCAAUGCAAGUAUGUGUCAAUGGUGUUAUGCCUGAUCGAAUUGAGCCUGUUGUUAUUCCUGCUAAUGUCCUGAUCCAUACCAUAUAACUUUGCUUUCAAAAUAAUCUUGAUCUCCUUUGUAAUUAGCUGAGGGGGUCUAGCCACUGAAGUAUGUAACCUUUUGUUUCUCUCAUUCCAAAUCGCAUAGAAGACAGCCUGUGCAAUUAACUUGCAAAUUGUUCUCAAUUUACCAGGUGGAGUUGAGUGAUGCAUCCAUCUGAUAACGUCGGCAAAACCAUACGGCUGAUUGAAACCACCUUGACCAAAAAAAGAAUCCCAUAUGUCCUUAAUAAAAAAAAAAAAAAAAAAAAAAAAAAANNNNNNNNNNNNNNNNNNNNNNNNNNNNNNNNNNNNNNNNNNNNNNNNNNNNNNNNNNNNNNNNNNNNGAAAACAAACAAAAAAAAAAGGAGAUCAAGAUUAUUUUGAAAUGGAACUUACUGUUAGGACAGGACCAAUGGUCAAGUCUUCUAGUUUCCGUCUUCCGGCAAGAUCUUUUAGUUUAGAAACAAGAGAGGUUUUUGCCCAGUUCUGUAAGAAAGAAAGUAAGAAACAUUGAACAGAAACAAAGACAAACUUGAAGUAAACCAAAAGGGAUCAAAACCAAACCAAACCUCAUGCAUGAAUAGCAUAGACUGAGCAGAACACUUCUGUCCACUGCACGCGUACGCAUCUUGAUCACAAACCCACGCAACGUAAUCAACCUCCUGAACAUCUGGUCCCAAGACUUUCCAAUCAAAUCCAGCAUCUUCCAGUCUAAUCCGACCCUUGAGAUCAAGCGCCAGCUUUUCAGCUACUCUAGAGCUACCAGUGAAGAGUGUUUAUCCUUGGAUUGGCCUUACAUAAGAAAUUACAAAAAUAAGUAAAACAUGUGGAGACAAUAAGACUUGUGAGUUCUGAAAACACACAAACCUCUAACAGUAUCUUGUUCAUAGUCUUGCCAUCUGAGUUUAUAAAGUCAACAUCUUCAACAGGUAAACCACAGUAGUGGAGCAACCGCAUCAUUUGCUCCAUUACAAUGCUCACCUAUCCAAACAAACAUUUCAAACAAUCAUGAAAAUAGAUUUUGGAUUAGUUUUUGUUAUGUGUGAGACAAACACAAGAAUAAUACUCUCUUUGUUUUUUAAUAGUUGAAGUUUUAGAGAUUUUUUUUUGGUUCCAAAUUAGAUGAUAUUUUCAACUUUCAAAGUAAAAUUUAUUAACUUUAUAUAUUAUAUGACCAUUUAUAUUCCGCAGUCUAUUUUAUGUUUGGUUAAUUUAUGGUUAUGUGAAUAAUUAAUGAUGAUUAGAAAAUGUAAGAAAAUAAAUAUUUUCUUAAUCUAUGCGUAUAACUUUAAAACGUCAUCUAAAAAAAUGAAGAGUUUUAAACAGAUGGAACCAAUAGAAUAAGAAAGAAUAAUCACUAUACCUUGCUGUCAAACUUUAAGAAGAGGUUUGUUACCCACGUAUAAAGCCCCCAUAAGCUGAAGUAGAGGAAUCUCAAGUGGGAAAUUAAAUGGUGUAAUGAUCGUUACCUGUAUCAUAUAUAACUUCACAGUUUCAAAAACAAAAUAGAAAAUAGAAGUUUCUAAAGUUAAAAGGUAUCUAGGAAAGAAUGUCUUACAGGACCAUAAGGCCAGCGGUAGCCAUGACUUUGCUGACCAUGAUGAUUACCAGGCACUGCAAAAGACCUUGCCAGGAACCGCACCUGGUAUUAAAAGAAAAUGAAAGCAGAAUCGUUAAACAAAUAUUCAAAAGAUGUAAUUUUAUAGUCAGUCACAUAAUUGAAUGUGUAUAUAGUUCUUGAAAGUGAGAACAGGAACAACAUAAAAUAAAUAAAGACAUUCAUAUACCCAAUGUUGAAGAAAUCACUAAGCGAUAAUUAGGGGCUUUUUAGGAGAAUAGUGAUUAGGCGGAUGCCUAGACCGAUUUUUUUUUUAAAUAAUCGUUCAAGAAAAAUCGUUUUAUUAGAUUCUAUUUGAAGUCUAGACCGAUUUUUUAGAACACUGCAUUACCUGAUCGCCGCAAAAGUUCUCUAAGAACUUUAGUGUGACAAAAACUUCUCCAGCAGCUUGCUGGUAACUCUUUGGAGCUACCCUUUGAAUCAACCUCGUGAAGAAAUCAGAUACCUAAUAGUGUAUAUAACACACACAAUAACAAACAACCAGUAGCUCAGUACACAAAUUAUUCAGGAAAUCUGAUUUUUGAAUUUUUAAAAAUAAAUAAAACAUAUGUACCUUUGGUAAGGCGAGCAUAUGAGCUGCCUUGGUCGAAAUAUCUCCAUAUAAAAGGUACCUUUAGAAAACAUGACCAUAUGUGUUUAGCAGUGUUCUAAAAAUUGGUAUAGGUAGCACCUAGGCGUCCGUGUAGGUGGCAAAUCGGACAUAAACAAUAUCAUAUUUUUAUAACAAGUCUAAGCUCCCGAUUAAUCAAUAAUUUCACAGAAAAGGCCUAGCUAUUUCUUAAACAUUGGUCUUUAGUAUAUUCAAGGAACGAAAUAGAUUAGAUUCAUAAAGCUUUCUUAGAUCCCAAGCAAAUAAUACCUCUCUGGAGACUUGAAAGGGUUAUGGAGACCAUGUUUGGGACACUGUGACAAGCUCUCAACAAAUGGCUGCAAAAUAGAACAUAGUACAGACAAAGUUAAAAUUGUGACUGGAUACAACAUUGCAGUAAUAAGCUCAAGACUCGCGCAGCUGAACUCCUGAUUCAUCCACUUCAGAGACUUUAAAGAAAGGUUCUCCAUUGAGAGGAUCAAGAAGUGUUAUAGUUAGAAGAUCCUAUCCACUUUCCCUGCACUAUUAGAUAUUAAAAAGAAAAGUAUUAUCUCAGAACAUUCCACAUCAGCACUUCAAAGCAAAAAGCUCUGUGAACUAAGUGAACACGUACCAAAGCUCUGUACUUCAGCAGGGUGAGCACCAGAUAUCUCCUCGGCAUCUACCGUAGCAAAAGGUAAUGAAUGAUUCAAUCUGCAAAAGUCAUGUUUAUAACGAUCUUUUGAUCAAAUAAUAGUAUGUUCAUUUUGUAACAACAAAAUAAUAAACCUCAGAUUUUUAUAACACCAACUUGCUAAAGUUUAUGUCUUUUUAUAUAAUUUUAAUUAAAUCUUUAUUAAAAAAACAACACUUUGCGAGAUUGAUAACCUGGAAGAGGUGAAAGAAGCAAGGAAGGUCGAUGAUUUGCUGUCAGAGAGAGACUUAAUCUUAAUCAGGAAAAAAAUAAAAAAAUAAAAUAAGAACCCAAAUGAAAGAUGUUCUUAAUCUUAAUCAGUAAGUCUUAAUUGACCAAUUUGUUUUUGGUCUUUACGCUAAACCAUUAAUUAAUAAAUAAAAUAAUAAUAUGGAAGAAAAUAGUUUUUUUUUUAAAACAAAUAUCCUUUUUGUCUUUAUCUCUUUUCUUAUACGGUGAAGCAAAGGAAAGAAAAAUAUCUUCUUUGAUUCUCUCGAGUCUCUAUUUGCUAUAUACUCUUUUUUUUUUCAUUAUCUCUCUCACCUGAUUCACAAUUGAAAACUCUAGCUUUUGCUUCAUUGUUCUUCAUAAAGCUUUUGAAUUUCAGGUUAGUCUAUCUUUCUUCGUUUGAAUCCAAACCUUUGGUCUUUCUUGUUUCUCUGAUUCAUAACUUGCAUUGAAACUUAGGCUUUACUGAUUGUAUAAACGUAGAUCUUGAUCUCUGCUUUGUGGGUUCAAUAAAGUCGAAAACUUUAUCAGAAAUAAUGUGUUUGUGGCGUUUUAUGAGAUUAAAAAAAAAAAAUCAGUAAUUACUAUUGUAAAGAGUUAAACUUGAAAGGUUUGGUCUUUCAGUGCAGUGUUCUUUGUUUUCAAGCAAUGGCAACUCCAGCUAGGAAGAGACUCAUGUGGGACUUCAAGAGACUGCAGAAAGAUCCUCCCUUGGGGAUCAGUGGAGCUCCUCAAGACAACAACAUUAUGCACUGGAACGCUCUCAUCUUUGGGUAUAUACAAACACCCUUUAACCAUUUUUUUGUUUGUCUUCACUAUGCUUUUCAAACUAUAAACUAAAAAUCUUUCUUUAUUGUCUUUUUGCAGACCUGAUGACAGUCCAUGGGAUGGAGGUAAACUCUGUCUUAUUGCUUCCACAUGUUUUUUGAGUUAUUUAUAACUAUUAGCUAAGCUCAUGUUGUUAAUCUGUCUAUAGGUACCUUCAAGUUGACUCUUCAGUUCACUGAGGACUACCCUAACAAACCACCAGUGGUUCGCUUUGUUUCUCGGAUGUUUCAUCCGAAUAGUAAGCCCAAUCACGCACUUGAACUAAUAUACUUAACUAGAUUUUGACCCGCGAUUUUGACCAGCUUUUAAUAUAUUUUGUGGGGUGAAAAUUUAGUUAAAAACACAUCAAAUAUUUUGUUAGAGAUGUUAAAAUUAGUCUCAUUUAAGAUAUUUUGUUAGAGAGUAUUUGAUGACCAAAACAUGAGUUAUUGAUUUGAUGUUUGAACUUUGGUGCAGUUUAUGCUGAUGGAAGCAUUUGUUUGGAUAUAUUACAAAACCAAUGGAGUCCCAUAUAUGAUGUCUCAGCGAUCCUCACAUCAAUUCAGGUUUUUGACAAUAUGAAUCCUCCAUUGCAUUGUAGGCUUAUAAAUAAACUAACUAACAUCUUGGUUUUGGUUUUUUUCUUUACAGUCUCUGCUUUGUGAUCCAAAUCCUAACUCGCCAGCAAACUCUGAAGCUGCAAGGUUGUUCAGUGAGAACAAACGAGAGUACAACAGGAAAGUUAUGGAGAUUGUGGAGCAGAGCUAUGCUUAAUAAUAAUAUAAUGUAACUAUGUGCUGCCUGUUGAGUAAUUGGAGAUUGAAUAUAUUUAUCUUAUAAGUUUCAGAAUUGAGUUUUUUACACAUUUGAACUUGAACAGAAAACAGUAGAAGAUAGACAUCCAAUGAACUUCUAGUUAUGCCCUGCGAGAUGGUUUAACUGUCCUCUUCCUCCUUGUGUUGCUUCCAACGACAAUGACAAGGAACUUUAAAACGUGACGACCCAUUUAUGUUUCUCAACGUUGGUCUUUGUAUGGGGUCGGUCCAAUAGUCUGAACACUCAUCAUCUUACAAUCGAAACUUUAGUUUAAUAGAUAAGAAAAAACAUAGAAAGAAAGAAAGACAAGUCAUUAUCCUAGUGGAUGUCAUGUUCUUAAUUUUUUAUCUGAUCGAUUCUGUCAUCUAACCCUGACUUUUUCUCACUAGAAACAAUAUAAUUAUUUAUUUCACCUAGAAAAAAAACAUUAUAUAUGUAUAUUUUACCAAACACUUUAUUUGGAAAGAACACUGUUUUAUCGUUUUCUGAGCAUGUAACACGCCUGAAUUUGUCGGUCAUCGGCAAUUAUCAUUAGAGGGCGUGAUUGGGAAACAACAGAGUGAAUGAAAAAUAAAUGGAAAUGGAGUAAAUGAAAAAGUGGAAAUCAGCUAGAAACAAAACAAAUAGUAAGAGAAAAGAGAUUAAGGAACUCGACUAAAUGUAUUUCUCUAGUAAAUGUUAAAUGUUAAUGUGUUUUUUUCUGUUUCUAAAGUAAUUGGCUGAAAGAAGAAAUGUGGAGCUGGUGAUCGGACCAGUGUGGGAACUGGAACCGCAACAUGACCUAACUAGGCCGCAAAGGCGAGGAUUUGAAAUUUCUAUCCUAUUUUGCAGUGACCAGGAACACCGCAUAUGAAGUUUUAGUAUCCCAGUUUUGUUAGACUGAUAGUAUCAGAUCCGGUCUGAUAUCUAGCUAAUGGUUUAGACGGUUCACACAGCUCCAAAUCAUUGUGAGUGACUUCAGUGACGUCGUGAAAACCAUUGUUGUAUUCAAAAACCAAAGAUUCUCCUACUUGAAAAGUUCUUGAAGAAUCCCAUGCUUUGUCAUUAACACCCAUCAUGGUCCAUCCGCUCGAGUCUCCCACGUUGUGUACAGUUCCUCCAACUCCAAAGAGAGCGAGAAGAAUCAUCAAAGAAGUGAAGAAGGUGUUGCUCUUAAUCAAAGCCAUGAUCGAUGUUUUGGUUCUUUCUUUUUCUGGAACAAAAAAAUCAAUUGAUGUGAAGGACAACGAGUUUGAGAGAGAUUUAUUGAAGUUUUUGAGAAUGGAAAUUGAGAGGGGUGCUAAAAGCAUCAUCAUUUCUAUUCCAUAAUUUAUUCUAAAAACAGAGUGAAAAUAGAAUAUAAACAUAAAAUAAAAUAUUGUUAUAUAAAUGAAUUGAUUUUUUAUUUUUUUGUUCAUAUUCUAUUUUCCACUUUAUUUUUAGAGUAAAUUAUGAAGUGAGUAUGAAUAUAAUUUAUAAGAGUGUUUAUAUAGAGGAUUUGGUGCACCGCUAAUCGUAGUAAUCCUUUUCCUUUAGUGAUUACAUAACUUAAUUUUUCCUUUUUCCUCAAUUCAUUACGGAUUGAAAAAUUCAAUACCUAAUCCUAUAAGUUUUGAGAACUUUGAAGUUAUCCAUAGUAAAUUAUACUCAUGUAUAUUGUAUAUUUAAUCGAAUAUAAAAUUUAAAAGAUACCAAAUUAUUGUAAUAGUUAAAAGUAUGUGAAAAUUUAAAACAAGAUAUCUCUAUAAUUAAAAUUUAGAUAUUAUAUGUAUAUAUAUAUUAGUUAUGAUAUUACUUUAAUUAACAUAGCUAGAUUGAAAGAGAAUAAAAUAUAUUCAGAAUAAAUUUUACAAUAUGUUCUAAUAAAAUAUGUCAAAAACUAAUAUUAUGAUUAUGAUAUUUUUUAUAAUUAAACUACCUAAGUUAAGAAUAUUCCAAAAAUAAAAAUAAACAAAUAAAAUGAUAGAUAAGUAAUACUAGAACAAAUAUAAAAUUCAAAACAUACUAGGCGGUGUUAUUCAAUCAUGUAUUUUAAUAGAGUUUAAAUCUAAACACAAUCAAUUGUUAUUCAAAUGAUGAUUCUAAAUUCUAUUGUAAAAUCCAGUGUUAUUUAAUGAAUGAUUUGAAUCCAAAUUUUAAAAUCUAGUGUUAUUCAAUUUUAAAAGAUUUUAAAAUUCUUUGUAUUGUAAAUUGAUUUCAAAUCAUAUCUUCUGGAUUCUCUUGAACAAAUGAUUUAAUUCAAAAUUCAAGUUAUUUUUCAGAGAAUUUAAAAUUCAUCAACUUAAACUAUCUUAAAAUUUAAAAUUUGAUAGAUUACAAAAAAUUAAUAAUUGAUUUGAAAUCAGUCAUUGAAUAACACUUCCUUAUGACUGUAAAUAGUUAAAACUAUAGGUGAAAAGGUAAUAAUUCUCAAUAAUUUAUUUUUUUAAAAUUAUUAUGCAUAUUUUUCCAAAAAUUAAAGAUUUUACAUCAUAUAACUAGAAAUAUAAUAACUAACUGUUAAACUGUUACAAGUAAUUUUAUUAAAGCCAUACAAAUUUUAUCACAUUUUCUUAUAAACAUAUAAACUUUUGUGGUUUUUUGUUCCUUAAUAUUUUUACUUUUCUGGAAUUUAAAAAUAUAUAGAUAGUAAUAGUUUUAAAUAAUCAAUAACAAUAAGUAUAUACACACAUAUCUUGGAUAAAAUUUUAAACAUGUAACAAUCUAGUUGAUAAUUAAUGAUUACAUAUAUAUUACUUCUUUAAAAUUAUUAAAUUUAAAAAAUUUAUUUAAAUAGCACACUUUUAUAAGCAUAAUUACAAGAUAAAUUCACAUUCUUUUUAAAUAGGACUACUAAACAAGUUAAGGACAUCACAUUGUUGUUUAAGAAAACCAUGAAGAUACAGACAUCUCUCAUGUGCAUAUUCAUCAUCUCCCUAUUUACUUUGCAUCAGUGUAUGUAUAAUUUUUUUCAAUUAUAUUACUUAUGUUUUUUUCGUUUCUUAUUUAGUUAAUGUUUGGUUGAUGUAUGAUUUUUAUGUGAAGGUGCAAGGACGGAUAUUAGAGAAAUGGGUAAAUCAAACAUAAUCAUAGACUCAAAUUGUUAUCAUACAAAUUGGUUUAACAAAAGGGGUUGGUGUUGUACAGCCUUAAAAGGUGAUCCUUGUUGGCGCGACAAAGCCUCAUGUGAUUCAACAUGUCCUCGUCCUCGUCCUUCUUCUCCUUAAAACAAUAUAUAAUAAAAUUAAUGUAUUAAAUGUAUUUGGUUAUGCAUGAAAGUAAUAAAUAAUAUAAAGUUAUCUAAUUUAACUUAAUCUAGUAUUAUUUUAUUUUGAAAUUUAAAAUAUUUAAAUUAGAUAUCCGAAAAGUAUUUGGAAUCUUUUUAUUUAGGAUCUUAAUUAGUUAUAAAAAAUGACUAGAUGUUUUGUCCACGGAUAUGAAUAUAAUAAUUUCACAAAUAUAUUUUAUUACAUACAUUAUUAAUUCAAAAACCUUCACAACUAACUUCCAAAAAUCAGCCAAAAAAGUUUAUAGAAGACAUAACUUUAGAACCAAAUUUUUUAUCACAAAUGAAUAUUUCUCAUAGUUCUAUUGUACUUAACCAUAACAAGUUUAUGAGAAAAUUGAAGCACUUGAGCUGACUAACCAUAGGCUUUAUUAACUCUUAACAAAACGCUAUACAGACUAUGAAAUUCGCUAUGAUAAUCUAACAUCAAACUUAUCCUUUCACUUAAACCCUUUGUAAAAAAAAAACUUAUCCUUUCACUUGGAUUCUAGAAAACUCACGGUCAAACUGGAUUGUAGUAAUCAUACUAAACUAAACUGAAGAAUAAUCGUUAACUGGAAUGGUUUUUUUUGUGAGAAUUAGCAUGAAUAGUAUCGUUUAACAUUAAAUUAUAUAAAUAGAGAAAUAUUUAAUUAAAUCUGAAAAACUUUUAAUGGAUACUAAAAUUUUCUCACAUCAUAUGAAACUAAAUAAUAAUUAUUAAGCAUCACGAAAAUAAAAAGUAGAAAGUCUUAGAGAUAGGACCUAAAGGAAAAAAUCUUAUGUGAAUGAUCUAUCAAACUAAGAUGAAAAGAGAAAGUAGAAAAAAAUUUAAUGUAUACUAAAAUUUGCUCACACCAUAUGAAUUAUAACUCACUAUUGCAUAACACCUUCUUCACUUUUUUGAAAAUAAAGUAAUGUAACCACGUGAGGUUAUUGGUAGACAAAUUCUAGAUGAGUUAUGAAAUUUUGAGAUUUCAUGGUUAUAGGUUUAUGAAUUUUUAAAAUUUUAUUAAAAUCCAUUGUUAUUGGUUUGAGAAUUUUUAAAUUCCAUUCAAAUCUUUUGUUAUUCAAAAAGUUUAAGUUUCAUUGAUUUUUUAAUUCUAUUAAAUUUUAUUGUUAUUGGGAUGUAAAUUCUCUAUAUUUUAACUCAUAAAACUAGAUUUGGAAAAUAUCAUGUUUACCCGCAAGAUUUGUAAAAUCCAAGUAAUAAAAACACACACACAUACAAACACAUAUUCGACUCAUCUCUUCUCAUCUUUCAUUCAUACAUCAAUGAUGACACUGUAUAUAAAUUUUGAGAAUUUUUUUUUAUUAUGAAGUUGUUUUCCUUUGUCUACUUUUGUUAGUUUUUAAUGUGUUUCUUGAUUAUGCAACUUGAAAGAAGAAGAUACUGGUAAUGUUCUUGUUUUCUUUGUUGUAAAAUUCAAAAAUUCGAAAGUUAGAAGAUAAAAACGUAAUUUGAGAUGAUCUACUCCUUAAGCAAAAUAAAUAAAUAAAUCUACUGUUUGGAAAUUUGGUAUCUCGACGUUUAUAGUGUCUUAAUCAGUUGAGUUUUUACAAAAAUAAAAAUAAAAAGUGUUCUUCACUAACAUUACUCCUAAAGAACCAUCGGAAAGAUAUUGAUAAAAACUAUUAUAUGUCACUAUAUAUUUGUUACCAAAGAAAGGUAGCAAUGUGUUAUAUGUGUAUAUAUAUAUAUAUAUAUAUAUAUAUAUAUUACCUUUUGGAAAAGUUAUUAAAAAACUUGUAUAUAUUACCUUUGAAGGAAUUUGUUUUGAGAAAGAUAUCUAUAAAAAUCUUUGAUAGUCAAUAACAAUCAAUGAGAGUCAAUACAAAAUAUUGAUAAAGUUGAUACAAUAUUUGUUAAAUCUACAUGGUUUUUUUAAAUCUAUCAACUUUAAAAAUGAUCAAACUCCACAUUAGGCCUGAGCAUAAAAUCCGGAACCCGAAAUCCGAACCGAACCCGAACCGAAAAAUCUGACCCGUUAUCCGACCCGAAACGUAAGAAUACCCGAACGGGUCUUGUAGGGUGGUACGAAAAAUAUUCGAACCCGAAGUGUUAUUAACCGAACCCGAACGGGUAACCCGAAAAAUCUGAAAUUAAUAGUCAAUAUAAAUAUUUUGAAAUAUAUAUAAGUAUUCCAAUUAUUAAAUUCAAUAUUUGUGGUAAUAUUAUAUACAAUAAUAAAUAUUAAAAUUCUAAUAAAUGCUUUAAGUACACAAUUAGUUAUAAAUAAGUAUUUUAUAAUUUGCUCAUUGAAAUAAAAAGUCUACUCUCUAUAAGGCAAUACAUAUUUUUUACAAAUGAUGUUUGUUUUCCUGUUUGAUUUAACAUUUUAUUGUUAUUUUAUCAAUUUUAUAUGUGAUAGAUUAAUUUUUAUUUCAAUGAGCAAAUUAUAAAAUACUUAUUUAUAACUAAUUGUGUACUUAAAGCAUUUAUUAGAAUUUUAUCCAAUUUUAUAUGUGAUAGAUUAAUUUUUAUUUAUUUUAGAUGUUUUUCUUUAUGUUUUACUUCAAAAAAUUUGUUUUUUACUUUGGUUAUAUCCUAACCGAACCGAUAUAACCCGAAUCCGUACGAUAUAUGAUUACUUUAUGGGUUUUAUGAUGCAAUACAAUUUUGAACCGAACCCGAUCCGUACUAAUAAAAUUUUAGUAUGAGACCUAGAAGCGUAAACCCAAAAAUCCGAAAACCCGAAAAACCCGACCCGAAUGCCAACGGGUACCCGAACGCCCAUGCCUACUCCACAUAAAUUUUGGUUCCAAUAACUCACGUAGUAUUCUCAAAAUCUUGUUUUGUGAGUUAAAAUGUAAAAAAUUCAACUUCCAAUAAUACUUACUUUAAUUGAUUUGUAGAAUCAUUAAAAUCUAAAACUUUUGAAUAACAAAUGAUUUUGUAUAGAAUUAUAGAAUCAUCAAACCAAUAACAUUAGAUUAUAAUAACAUUAGAUUUUAAUGAGAAUGUAAAAAUCUAUAAACCAAUAACACUAGACUUGAAAAUUCUUAGAUUCAUUAUAAAUCUUAAUUCCCGCUAACACCCCCUAAGAAGACCUAAACAAGACUCAAAGACUAUAUGAAAAUUUCAUGAAAUGCAACCUAAGACUUUAAAAUUGAUAAUAUGAAGAAAAUGAAUGCAAACUGUUAUAAUAGUUGGACUAUUCAAUAAAUAACAUAAACAAAAUUAUAAGUUAUGAUUUAUUAGAGUUUGUGAAAAUAUAGAUAAUUUCCAGUCUAAUUUAAUACUUAAAAAAAUAGAAAUAUUUUUUUUACAAAAAUGAGUUUUAUUCUAAUGUAUCAUAUAUCUCUAUUUUUAUACAUUUUUAAAAUAAAGAAAAUGUUAAUUUGUCUUUAAACAUAGACCAAAUAGCAUUUUUAUAUGUUCUUUCAAAUUACAGAAACUUUAUAUAAUAACAUAAUUGCAGAAACCCAUAUUUAUAAGAAAUAUUCUCAAUAAAAAAAUAUAGAAAAAAUAUAAAGGUGGACUAGAAAUACUCUAAAAGGACUUGAAUUAGCACAUACUUAUGGCAUCAAAAAUCUAUUCCAUGUUGGUAAAGUACAAAUGUACAUCUUUCUAAGGUUUAAGGUUUUGUAAAAGCAAUUUGCUCGUUGCUGUAUUGAGUAAAGAGAUCUAUGGUUCAUGGUAAUAAUCUGGUGACAUUAAAUGAUGAUCAACUUUACAAUAUUAAUAUCCAAAAAAAGUAAACCAAAGAAAAAGUCAGAAAAGUCAGAGUGGUUACUAUCAGCGUUACCAAUUCCGUUUUGUUGUUUAUCAUUUAUUCAGGAAAAAGAAAGUUGGUAGGGUUCCCGGUUUAAUCCAACUUAAUUUCAAUCGGUUUAAUCAACUAAACCAUAUAGACUCAAUCAAAGACUGAAACAUUUCGAGCUCUUAACUCAGAAACACACCGCUUCCUCUUUUUCUAAGCAAUGGGUGGAAACAACAGGCAGAGAUGGUUCUCCUUCCACCAACGCUCCGCUUCCGCCACCGCCACAACCGUGCCGCAACACAAACACGACGAGACUCCACCGGAGUUCCUCUGCCCCAUCACCGGGUUCCUCAUGUCGGAUCCCGUCGUCGUCCCCUCCGGCCAAACCUUCGAGCGCCUCUCCGUCCAAAUCUGCCGCAACUUAGGCUUCGUCCCGGAUCUCCUCGACGGGACCCGACCCGAUUUCUCCGCCGUCAUCCCCAACUUAGCCAUGAAAUCAACCAUCUUCAGCUGGUGCGACCGGAAAAAAAUCGACCACCCUCGUCCUCCCGACGCUGCCUACGUGGAAAACGUGGUCCGCGCCCGGAUGGAUAAAGAUCCGGAUCCGGAUCCAAACCCGGGUCAAGAAUCUCUGGAGCGUGAGAUUCUCCCCCCUGUUGCUGAGAACUCUCCUUCGGAUUACGAUGCUGUGAUGGAACUGAUUCGAGCUCGAUCCAAGAAACCAAUGUCUCCGACAGCUUCUCCGACAGCAUCGUCAGUUGAGUCUGUCACGAUCCGACAAACCCCGUUUUUUCCGACAAGAGCCGUUACGAUGUUCUCUUCCUCCUCAACUACUUCUUCCUCGUCAGGAGCUUACGCUGGAUUCGAUAGUAGCAGUCCUACCUCCGAUUACUCUUCGCCGUCGUCGUCGCCGAUGUCGCCGGAGGAGGAAGAGAUCUACAACAAGCUGCGAGGCGCCGACAUUUUCGACCACGAGCAAGGUCUGAUUCUCCUCAGGAAGAUGACGAGGUCCAGCGAGGAUCUCCGCGUCUCGCUAUGCACCGACAGGAUCCUCUCUUUCCUCCGACAGCUUCUCGUCUCGCGGUACAAUCUCGUUCAGACAAACGCCGCGGCGUCUCUGGUCAACCUCUCCUUAGAGAAACAGAACAAGGUGAAGAUCGUGAGGUCAGGGUUCGUGCCUUUGUUGAUCGACGUGUUGAAGUCUGGAACCACGGAGGCUCAGGAGCAUGUGGCCGGAGCUUUGUUUAGUUUAGCGCUUGAGGAUGAGAAUAAAAUGGUGAUUGGAGUUUUAGGCGCGGUGGAGCCUCUACUCCACGCGCUUCGUUCUUCGGAGAGCGAGAGAGCGCGUCAAGACGCGGCUCUCGCGCUCUACCACUUGUCUCUGAUUCCAAGUAAUAGGACUAGGCUGGUUAGAGCAGGUGCGGUGGCGAGUCUGUUAACGAUGGUUAGGUCUGGUGAGUCUACGAGCCGGAUACUGUUGGUGCUUUGUAACCUCGCGGCUUGUCCUGAUGGGAAAGGUGCGAUGUUGGAUGGAAACGCGGUGGCGAUUUUGGUGGGGAAGCUUAGGGAAGGAGGGGAAGAUGAGGCGGCGCGUGAGAAUUGCGUGGCGGUUUUGUUGACGCUUUGUCAGGGGAAUCUGAGGUUUAGGGGGUUGGCGAGUGAGGCGGGAGCUGAGGAGGUGUUGAAGGAGGUGGAAGAGAGUGGGAACGGGCGUGUGAAGGAGAAGGCGGGGAGGAUUCUACAGGCCAUGAGGGGAGGAGGUGGAGAGAGUGAGUAUGGGGAGACGGAGGCGCGUGAGUGGAACCGUAUGAUUGAAGCUACUGGUCUGAGUCGGAGUCAGUUUCAGGGAGGGCAAAACGGGGGUUUCGCUUGUUCCUCUCAGUUCUAGUUUUUUUUUCUUUUCUUUUUUAUUUUUUUUUAAUGUUUUCUCUUUACAAAUUUUUGGUAAAAUGUUUUCAUUUUGCUUUUUUUUGUUUGAUAUAAAUGGGUGUAUAUUAUUAAUGUGAGUGGACUGUAAUAUGUGAUUAUUGUUUUUGUAAUAUUAAAUGACAAAAUUGAAAUGUCCAUUUGUUUGUAAAGAGAUGUCUAAUGUUUUGCAUUGGUUUUUAUGACCUCUCUUUACUUUUCUUUUUGUUUGAUUAAUGCUAUCUUAUUUUGUAGUUGUAUGUUUUUAUUUCUCCCAUUAGAAUUGAAAUAUUUCUAGAAAAUUGAUUUUUGCAAAGUACAGAGAUGUGUGACCGAGAGAUAAAGAGAGAGGAGAGGACACAUUCAACCUUAGAGGCAAGCAACGUGCGUGUGAUGGGAAAAUAAACAGAUAGAAGCAACUUUUUAGGUAUUAAAUCUCAAGUGGGAGUUUUAGCUUUUGGUCAAAGGUCAGACAGUUCGUGUGGAGAUGUCAUAUGGCAGCAAACUCUGAAUCAUUCUACAAACAUUCCGCGUAUGAUACUAUGAGAUCCAGUAAACAAAUUUCAAUAACCAAUCAUGGUUUAUUGUGUCAAAUUAUAUAUGGACAAAAGGAAGGCCAAAGUAUCGAACAAAAUUAUAGUUUAAUUUAAGGCCUUAAUUUAAUGUUAAAUAUAUAUAUAUAUGACUGAAGACUGAAAAACAUUUCACAUCUGCUAGUUGGCACAAGAUAGGUAUUAGAUCAAACAUUAACAUAUGUUUCUUGUUUGUUCCACUUGGAAAUACACAAUCAUAGGACAACACCGUAUGGCUAUAAAUUAAUGUUAUCCAUAUAUAGGCUUCAUUUGUGACCUACAUGAGCUAAUUGAUUCAUAUACAUGUGACAGUAAGAACAAGGAUUGAUUAUAGAAACUUGACACCUGAUGCACAUAUGGAUCAUUGCAGUUUUUAGCACGCUUAAUGAUUUCUUGGUCCAGUCCUAAUAACUAUUUUAAUAUAAUUGUAAUCCAAAAUUCGAUUAAACGGAGACCGGAAUUCUAUAAGGAUAAAAUCAAAAUAGCAUAAAAUUUUACAAUUUACUAACAUUUAUUAAAGGCAUAACACUCCAUAGAUAAAUACUAAAAGUUGGAGAUCCUUUAUAGGAACGAAAUUAUCACAUUAAUUUUACUAAGAAAUCAUAUAGUUGCUGCUAUUUACAUUUAGUCAAAUUAUACAGAAAAAGAUUUUUUUAUUAAUGAUGAUAGUAAAUUGACUUAUAUUCUUGUCAAAUUUCACUUAAAGGUCGUUUAUUUUACAACUCAAGGUACAUGUGCAAACGAGACGGAUUUAGUAUUGUUUGCAAUUUCCAUGGCUGUCAUCUUCCCAUUCAAACCGCAUUUGUGGUCGUGGUCAGUCAAAACCUUUUUUCAAAUAAUUUUUAUAAUUUUAAUUAUAGUGUAAUGUAACAACUUAAGAAAAAAAAUCACCAGAAAGUUUAUGACUUUAUUUGAAUAAGAAAUUGAUUUUAACUAGCAUAAUUAGUAUCUGCUGAGUUUUAUAUGAUUUAUGUUAUUUUGUGUUGGUAUGUUCGUUAUUUCACAAAAUUGUCGUUAAGUAAUAUAGUGUUAGUUUUGAAUUUAUUUAUUUUUUGGAUAAAAGCUGAAAACCUGAAACAGAAUUGAAAACCAAGGCCGGAGGAUGGAGGGGGGGGAGGAGGUAUGUCUACACAGACUUUUACCCUCUCAUUUUACACUCACACAUAUUUUGGAUUGGUCAUGUGCUUUGUUCUUAUAAUUAAUCCAAAAAGCCCUCGUACUUAAAAAACCUUAUCUUUUUCUCUUUAUGUCUCCAUCGCCGCAAGAUUUCAAUCCAUAAGCCCUCACUCCUCCAACACUCGUGGCUGAAGAAGAUGGUGAUAGUGAUGGUUCUGAAUCAAAUUUUUCGAGGAGCCAUUACCUGCGUGACGCUCACCAUAACAAUAAUGUGAGGUUCUUGAGGAACAUUGCUUGUACGAAGACAACUAUGGGCAGGGGUCAGGUGAACGAUGUGAGAGGUAAGGUGUGGUAUUGGCGGCCAGUUACAGUGGGAGAUGAAUAUACAACACCGUUUCAUGAGUCCAUUAAUUACUAUUUUUUUCCACCAAGUGUUUAUGGUAUGGCCAGAGCAAUAAGAUUUUGUGUAGUGACCAUAAAGAUGGAAAUACACCAACCAGCAGCCUGGAUCUACGGAUUUACCAAUAUCUAGUGCCCACAAUUUCAAGUUGUUUUUGACCACUGACCACAACUACGACUAGGCUAACUGUUACGUUUGUCUUGUGACUAUACCUUCAACAUUAAUCAAUGACCACAAGUCCAACAAGACUUACAAACCGUGACCACGAACUCGGUUGUCAAGUAACCACAAACUAGUGUUUAGGACCGAACCAAUAUUGUAAUCUAUUAUGUUAAAGCAUUUACUUUCUGUUAGGGGCAAUUUCGGCACAAAAAAGACCAACACAUGUCGAAAGUACACUGCAAGCAUAAAGUAUGUUAAAGUGUAAAACUACAAGGGUAAAGUAUGUCAAUGUGAUAUGCUCUCUUCUAUUUGGAUCCGCGGUUGAGCCGGUAAUCCGAAACCUAUAUAACUUGGAUAUGCAUAUGUUGUUCAUGUUUAUCAUAAGCUCUAUUUUAUUAAUUUAAGAAUCGGUAAAAAAACCAAGAAAAACUGAUAACAUUUUAAAAAAAACUUCUGAUGUAUUUUAUAGUAAUACAUAAAACUAUAAACUAUUUGAUUUGUUUUUUAAUAAAUGAGAUUAAUGAGACUUGUUUAGAGUAAAGAGUAUAAUAAAAUAUAUACUCUAUAUUGUGUAUAUAAUUUUCGUGUAGAACAUGAUAUGAUCUAAUAAAUAAAAGUUUAUAUGCUGUAUAACUUUGUUAUGUACAAAAAAAUGUGGCGUAAUAAAUUAUUGUUAGAGAAAUUUUAGAUUACGAAUCGUUAGUCAAAUAUUAUGGUAAGAUAAAAAAUAUUGCUAGUUAAUGAAAGGGUGCAACAACUUUGUUUAGGUACAUUUAUCAGAAUGUUUCUCUUUUAAUAAUUUAGAUAAAUAUAAAUAUUAUUUUAAAGCAUUUUAUUUAAAUUUUACUAAAUAUCUAUGGUCUCUUAAAUUUCACAGUCGACACUAUCGAAAUGAAGCAUCAAUUUCAGACCCAUUUUAUUGCACUCCAGUUUCUACUACCAACAAAGUGAAUCUUCCAUUUACAUGACUUAUAUCUUUUUUUCAUCCCGUAUUUUUUUAUAAUUAUGAAUCAGUUUCUUUCUGCUAAAACAACUUCGCACCAUUUGAAUUACCAAUGCUAGAGUACUUCUGACAAUUUAUUGUCGCAACAUAUGGUCAUUGGUCCAUCAUGUAGUAGACCAAGUUCAGAGAAAAGUCCUCUGAUCCAAAUGAGUUCCUUAGUGAUUGCUUUCAUUGCACGGAACUCAGCUUCGGUGGAAGAGAGUGAAAUAGCAUCUUGUUUCUUCAUUUUCUAACGAAUAGGCAAAGUCCCAAACUGUAUUAUCCAGCCGGUUAGUGAUCGACAUGUGACUGGACAUGCGCCCCAAUCAGCAUCACACCAUCCGGUUACAUGAAGCGUAGUGUUGGCGCGAAAAAGAACUCCUUUAUAUAUUAGUUAAUGUCCCUUAGAAUUUCCGAUGUGGGAUAUAUAUCCCUAAUACCUCUCUUCGAGAUGAUGGCUCUUAUCAGCCAGAAAUCCCGCAGUGAUGGCUCUUAUCGGCUAGAAAUCUCGGAGAUGAUGGCUCUUAUUGGCCAAAAAUCUCGGAACUUUAGGACAGUUAUACUCGGUCGAGCGAGUUAAUUACGAUCUUUUAUAUCCGGUCGGGAAGGGUUAAGUACGACCUAUAAACCCGGUCGGAAUGGUCAUAUUAAUUAGGAGUCUAGGGUAUUUUCAGAUAUGAGCUCUGAUACUAUGUUAGAUUCGGGUUCAUUAUGGGCUUCCAACUUAAAAUCAAUUUGCAAUUAGUGGAUUUGCCAUAACCCUUUAUAUAUUAGUUUUUUGUUUGACGCUGAUUUAUUAUGAUCUUACAAUUAUGAUAUGAGAAAGAUUACAUAGACGAUUCAUCAACCGACAAUACUACAUGUCUUCUGAAGACCUACGCCUAACUGCAUCACCCAAGCCGUCCUAUGAAGAUCCAUUGUAAACAUUUCUUCCGUAGUCUGCAUAAUUGUUUAAUAAAUAGCUCUCUCCGGGAUUUGAAACCUGGAUUUCCUGUAAUCUGCAAUAAAUUGCAUAGUAUGGAAUUCGAACCCCAGACCUGGGUGUAGAAGCCUUUAAACCUUAACUAGUAGGCUACGGUGCUUCCACAUAUAUUAGUUAAUGUCCCUUAAAAUUUUGUGGGAUAUAUAUCCCUAAUAACUUCAGUUUUAUAGAAUAAGUUUUGAAAUGAAAAAGAUACAAAAUUUUAAAGUGAAUUCUAACCAAGAAUUCGAUUUUUUUUUGUUAGGCUAGCAUCAUCUAUAUUGGAAGGUAAAUCUAAAAUCUCUUAUGAUUUUGUUAAUCAUAAAUAUUCUGAUUUCUUUAAAACAGAAAAUAACUAUUGUGUAUAUAAUACAAGUCCCGACUGCAAAAAAUUACUCAUGCAACGGUUACAUCAUAUGACAAGUCAUAAAACAUACGAAAACUUAAUAUUUAAACAACCAAAUGUCAACCCUGAAUCGGAGUUAAUAAAAAUAAGAUCAGACUGAUAACUUAAGUCAUAACUCCUCUACUAAGGAGCUUUCUUGAACCGCUUGCUCUCUGGAAAAUGAUGCCUCUACAAUAUGGAAAACCAUGGAGUUAGUGAGAAAUGGCAUGCAUACAGUUUUUGUCUCUUGUAAAAUCUAUCAAAUUAGUCAUUAAGAAAAAAAGCUUGCCUUUACCCAGAAGAGUUGUAGGUUCUCGGAACGUUCAAAAUGAUCAGUAAUACGCUUACCCUGCUUGCUCAAAUGGUUAGAUAAGGAAACAGUAUUAUUGAUUUCAAAGAAGAGAGAGGAUGCUUACAUUCAGCGCAUGUUUUUUACUAGAGAGAUGCUUCAUGAAUUCAUCCAGGUGUUUGAAAUCAGAGUAGAUCCACCAACCCUUUCAAUACUACUUCCACUGCACUUCCGAAGAAGAACAUGUCUUCUUGUCUCUGAAACUAAUAGAUUUAAGAGAUUAGUUUGGUGGUUAUAUAUAUGAAAGUGAGACAGAAGAGAGGUGUGAAAAAAAGAAAGAAAAAAGCACCUGUAAGUAAGCUAUCCCAGAGCCACUCUGCAGAAGUGACCAAGACUGACAUUUCGCGAGGCCUAAAUGAGUAAGCCAAAAACAGGUUGUACUUAUUGCUUUGUAGUAGAUGGGGAAGAAAAUCUGAAAAGGCAUCAUCAGCCUCAUCGGAUAUGAUCAUCAUUGUAGCCGGAGUAGGAUUGUUAUAUUGCCAUUCAUCAAUAUCAUCAGAGAUGCGGCCGUUCACGACUUCUGUUUUGUUUCAACAAAAGAAAGAAAGCAUGCAUUUUCAGUAUUAAUUUUUUGUAACCAAAAUGUGACUAACUAACUAACCAAGAGUGGCAUGUGCAACAUCGAUUCCAGUGGAAGAGAGGGCUUGAAGGUGGUGUUGAGGGGUUUGUUUAUGGUCACCAUAGGCAGUGAUGGAGACAGGACCAGAGUAGCCUAGUUCCUUGAAGGCACCUUCCAAACUGGGACGGAUCCGACGAGCAUCAUAACCGUCGGGAAUAGGACAGUCAAACAGGUCCCACAAGACAUGGAUUUUAGCUGUCGCAAAUUCAGGCGUGGCAGCGUAGUUCUUUCCCCACUUGCUCGUUACAGAUUGGAGUUGUGAAUCAUCAGGGCGUAAAAUCUCCUGCAAAAAAAAAAACAGAGUUAAAACAGUUAAAACAAUGAAUUGAUACAAUAAGAGAGAGAGAGAGAGGAUGGUUACUUCGAGUGCAUGCUUUUUAGUGGAGAGAUGCUUCCUGAAACUCUUGAGGCUUUGGCGAUCCAAAGAGCAAGAUUUGCAAUAAAACUUAGCAGUGCUUGUCUUAGUUAGUAAUUUUUCCCAGAGCCACUCUUUGCGAGUGCACACGAACAAUGCUGCGCGAGGUUCGACUGAAUAAGCCAGAAAAAGGUCGUAACACGUGCGUUGUUGUAGCCGAGACAGAUCCCAAUUGAAGACAUCUAACACCUGAUUGGAUAUUAUCAUCAUUUUAGCCGGAGGAGGAUUAUCCUCUCGCCAUUUCACCAUAUCCUUAUACAUGACUGCGCACGUGCAUCCUAUUUCAUUACCAUAUAUUAUUAUUUAUUAUUGACUAAAAAGGCCAUACAUAUAUAUAUAUAUAUCUUCUGCAGAUACUUCUUAUAAGACCAUGAUUAACCCGGAUUUCUUAGAGUGAAGUUCUUAGCGGAAGUUAAGAAACUGUUUAUUAACUUUUUUUUAUCUUUUUUAGUUAAAAGCUAGAAAACAGUUUCUUAACUUCCACUCCUAAGAACUCCGGUUAAUCAUGCUCUCGUAUAACAAAAGAAAAAACUGGACUAACCAGAUCUGGUAUGUACCACAGCGACUCCAGUGGAAGAUAGAGCUCGUAGGAGGAGGUGUUCAGGGGUUUGUUUUUGGUCUCCAUAGGCUGUGAUGGAGACAGGACCAGUGUAGCCUAGCUCAUUGAAAGCUCCUUCCAAACCGGGACGGACCCGACGAGCUUCGAUACCCUCUGGAACCGGACAGUCAAACAUGUCCCACCACACCGCUAUUUUAGCCGCAGCAUCAUUCCCACCCAUUUUCUCUACACCUUUUAACAGAUCUCGUUUCUACCCACACACAGGGUUUUUCUUUUUAUAUAUGUUAGUCGUGUUCUUUUAGAAGACGCAGACGCAUGGGUUAGCGAUCAACAUCAAAAUAAAUAAAAAGAUGGGAGAAAAUUAAUUAAGCAGACGCUGCAGUUACUUCCGUUAAGGUUUCUGGUGUUGUGACCGACGCUGUAAAAAGUAGCGGCGGUUAGAAUGAUCGCUGCGAUUAUUUUUGAUAGGCAAAAUCACCGCCGCCGGUGUCACUUUCCAGAUGUGUGAACAAGAAAAUAGUUAUAAAUUGGGUCGUUAGCCGCUGCGUCAGCGUCUUUCAAAAGAACACGGUUGUUGCCACCAAACUAUUGGGCCUAACUGAAACCCAUUAAACGUAUGGGCUUACGAAUUCAGAUAAAUUCGCUUUUUCCUUAUGUCAACAUUUUAGAAUUAGUAUAAGAAUAAAUUAAUCCAAUAUAAUGGGGGUUAUUUCUUUAAUAAACGUUAUGGAAAAAGAACAAACAAGUAAAAUAUACUAUUAAAAGUGUGCUUUGUACCGACCAUUCUUCGUGCGUCGUUUUUUCUUUGUUUUAGGUGGUCUUGGACCUCUUGGUGGUUCUCGCGGUGGAUAUUACAUAAGUUUGGGUAUUGUUUUUUUCCAGCUCAACAAGCAAAGAGUGAGAAAUACCUUGAGAGAUCUGAAGCGAGGGUCUGAGACGAGAGAGAUAGACAUCACCCACAUACAUUUUUUGCUGAGGCCCCGUCUAUUCAUACAAGCUUUUUCUGUGUCGGUUAUGAAUGCCUGAGAUGGAAGAUUAUGGAUUUUGUACUAUUUUAUGUUUUAUUUUACUUUAUUAUGUAUUAAAAAGUCAAUUUUUUAAUAUGAAAGCCUAUUAUAAAGAAAGCAUGUUACGUAUCAAAAUAUUCAUCCAAUUACAACACAUAUUUUUAUCACCGCACAUGCAUAUGCUAUAUGUAUUACAAAAAUCGUUUUACGUAUUCGGUUGAUUAAUUAGCUUGCAUUUGCGUUUUUAGAUAUACUAUAAUUUUUAAGCUGAUUUUCUAUUUUCAAGAAUUUACAUAGAAAAUUGUAAAAUCUGACAUGCUCGAAAUAUUGUAUAUAUCCGAACUCACGUAUACAGAAUUAUAGAAGACACAGAGAGACUAGAGAGAGAAAGUUUGAUUAGUGGUGGCCGGUCGACGGUGAGGCUCUCUCAGCCACCAUCGGUACACGGAGUCUUCUUGAAGAUGUGUAGUCGGCUUCGACUCCGGUGGUUCGCGUCUUCAAGAUGGAGCUAUCCGGAUUUUGGUUUCAUGGAGGUGAUUCGGAAGUGGUGGUUCUGUGGUAAACGGGUGUAGGAGGUGAUUCGGAAGUGGUGGUUUCGUUUGAUGACGAAGGCUUUGUCUUUGGGUUCCGUUGGUGGUUCCCGAGUGGUGUCUCGACGGUUUUCAGAUGAAGAUGUUUGAAGCGUGGGUGAUGGACUCUGUUUAUAUGGGUUGCGGUCGUCUUUUCUAUGAAGACGGAGGUGUUUAGUUCUCUGAAUCUCGGCUUUAUUGCCGUUUGUGGAAUGGUUAUGUUGGAUGGUGACGGUGGUUGGAUGUAUCGGAUGAGAUCUCGUCAUCAGACGAUUUGAAGCUCUCCGAGGGAUGGUGAUUUAGAUCUGUGAAGUUUCUUCUCUUGUGUUUGUGGCGUAUGGUGUUGGAUGAGAUCUCGAAGUGUCUCGAUUGAAGCUCUCUAAUGCUUGGAACACAAGAGAUGAAGGAAAGCUGUGAAGUUGGUGGUUCGAAUCUGUUCCCGGCAGAUAUUCCGGUGUUGUUCAGUCGUCGUUCAUUCCCUCCGGCGUAAAGCUCAGGUCGGUGAAGGAAUGGAGGCGGUUUCAUGCGUCGACGCGUGUCUUCCUUCUUCGCCUCCGUCAUACACGUGGUGUGUACGUGUGCUUUCGUGGGGUGUUUAGUUUGAGCUUUUUGUUGGGCCUCGCUCUUGUGUUUUAUGUGUGUGUCCGCUUUGGACUUUGUGUUGUUUUUAUCUUGGGCCUGGUUUAUGGACCUCUCCUGUAUUAUGUUUUUUUUUGUUAAUAUAAAUACUAGAUGGCAAAAAAAAAAACUCACGUAUACAGAAAAAUAAAAAAGCUCCCAAAAUCUUGAUAUGCUCGACAUUUUUGUUUUCAAAAUUAUUUUAUAUUUCACAUGACAAAUGAGUAAGCAUAGCAAUUAUUACUUUAAUAAUUUAUAACCUCCAACACAAAGUUAC